rnacentral:lncRNA from 1 species
ACUAAACAAGGGCUAACUUUGGACAACCAAAAUUACUGUAGCAACGAUGUAACAUUUCGUUUGUAUUUGUCAAUUAUUGUCUAAAUAUUGACUAAUUAGGCUCAAAAGAUUCGUCUCGCAAAGUACAACAAAACUGUGCAAUUAGUUUUUGAUUUCGUCUACAUUCAGUACUCCAUGCAUGUACCGCAAGUUUGAUAUGAUGGAGAAUUUCUUUUUUUAUAGUGUCAAAGUUGGGAUUUUGGGAACCGGCCCUCGUCGUUUAUCCGAGUCACUGUCCAAGUGUGCUUUCCGUGUCACUGUAGAGACACGGUGUACACAGCCCCAUGCGUCAAGUCCAACUGGCAAUCCCUGCCCAGUCACCGCCAGGUGGGCCACACCCUCCCACCUUUCUUCCCACCCUGCUAUAAACUACUCCUCCCUAUAAAAAUGUCACGAAAAGCCUGUUGUUGCCGUCCAUUAGCUUCCCCGGCAAAGCAAGAGCCCCGCCGCCCGCCGACGCCGAGCCACCCACCACCCAGCGGCAUCUCCCCGCUUGCUUCCUUCGCCUCCACUCUACUCCAAGAACCCAGCGGCGGAGAUCGGUGGAGGUCGUCAUCACCAGAGCAACCGGCCGUAGAUGCGAGCGGGCGCGCUCCUGCUCCUCCACCGCCACCUCCACGACAGCGCCAUGGACGGCUACGGCCACACCGGCGGCGGCUCCAAGGCCGCGGCUUUCUCCUCCGCGAGGGGUCCCGCGGGGUUCCCGCCGCCUUUGCCGCCGGAGAAGCGGCGCGGGGCGGCGCUGGCGAGGCGCGGGAGCGUCGGGGCCGCCAGCGGCGACGGCGGCCCGGCGGGCAUCGGGGGAAGCUACCUGGGCGCGGAGGCGGCGGCGCUGCUGGCGUGCGUGACGGCCACGCUGCUGGUGCUGCCGCUGCUGCUGCCCCCGCUCCCGCCGCCGCCGCCGCUCUUCCUGCUCGUGCCCGUCGCCAUCUUCGCCGUCCUGGUCCUGCUCGUGCUCGUCCCCUCCGACGCCAGGGGCGCCGCCAGCACCGCUACGCCCUACUCCUCCUCCUAUAGUUAGCUACCUUAUUAGAUUGGGCGCCCGGCCUUGUCGUCAUGUAAAUGUAAUUAAACGCGGACUCGGUGUGCUCGUCUUGUUCUUCAGAGAUCAAUCCAUGGAGAGGCUUUUGUUUUGCUCGAUUCGAUCAGUCCCGAUUUCGUCGAUGGUUCUUCCCUCUCUGCAUUUGCUUCUGCAAGUACGACGGUGACAAACUGACAACCGUCGAAUUGACUUCAUUCUUGCAAAGUUGCAAUCCAGAAUUCGACCCGGACAUCGAUUCAGAUUUGGAUCCUGAACUCGUAGAGAUCUCUGAUGAUUCCGCCUCCGAGUCCGAGAGCUCUGCAUCAUUGAACUUAGAUGCAGAGCACAGCGACGAUCGAGUGGCAGCUCACGUGCCAGCAGCCAGAUGGGCCAGGGUGAUGUGGGGGCAGAUUCAGUUUCAACUUUCAACUUCCAAGGGAGUCAGAAACUCGUACCAGCGAUAGUCGUCGUGUUCCUCGCGCAGCUUCUAUCCGCGAAACGAGCAGGAUCAUGCAGUUGUUAGGAUUUCCGGGAGUCGUCACUAGCAAGAUCUCAACGAACCUGGACACGAGCUUUCUCCACACGCUACUCUGCACAGAUUUUUUUUUCCCCUUGAAGUGUUGCUGCAGCUAGAAGAAAAGUAAAGUAGUAGCUCGAAAGAUGAUGCGCAUCGAUAGAUUGCGUCACGAGAAUGUUGGAAAAAAUGGGGGCUUGUUCGUCCAUCCAACUAUAUCCAAGAAUCUAGGUGCCUUCCAAAAAGAGAAAUAUUACGGGCCUAGUUAAUGGGUAUCCGGCUCAACACUAGCUACUGUUUCAUACAGGCACGGUUAUGGAUGGGAUGCAUUCCGAGUUUUUCUGUACUAGGCCGCAGAAUACAAAGCCCACACGGCCCUGAGCUUUAAACCAAGCCCACCGCCGACCACCACCCGGCCCACAUGGGUAUUGUCAUUUAUGUAUGGCGGUUGUAGUAGUAGCCCAACUUGCGGCGUAUGCGUGCAAUAAAGCAGGCCGCCCAGCGUGCACGCGAUUGAGCGAAUGGCCCAGCGGGUAGGCCCGAUGCGUGGAAGUAAAAGCGCGCGGCGGUUGGUGGUGGACUGGACGGUGCUCCCAAACCAGACGGAGGAGCCAAUCAUAACUCCCCUGACCAACACUACCCCGUUAUGAUUAUUCGUGUGGACGGCGCCAGGCUCAUGUGCUCGGUUUAGUGCACACUUGGAAAUGUAAUGCAAUUGGCAAGCUCAAGUAUUCGCUGCAUAUAUGUAUGAGACACGUACUGCCGUUUUGUUUUGUUUUUUGUUUUUUUUAAAAAAUGUUGCCACAUUUCUACAAAUAGCUACGACAAGCAUUGGGCCUAUUCAGCUAGACUUAUAAGUCGGCUGAAAAGCUGAAACAACUGAUUUGUUGUGAGAGAAAAACAUCGUUCGGUGGCUAAUAAGCCGGCUGAUAAGCUGAGAAAAACAUUGUUAGCUGCAGUACUCCAAUAGUUCAAUACAAACGUCGAGAGAGGGCAGCUACGGAUCGAGAUACCCUAUGCUUACUACCUCUCUUCUCUCUAUUUAUAUCUAUAUAUCAUUAUCUUUCCAUGCAAUGGUGUUUAUUAUUAUUUGACAUGUUAAUCCAUGUCUUAAGAGCUCUGGUAGGUCUCUGUUUUUUUUAAGACGAGAUGGAAAUGAACAAAUCCCAGCUGCUGUGAAGAUCUCUCCAGUUUAUGCUUAGCUUUCAUAGUUUUCAUAGUAGAAGACCAUGAUCUUUUUCUACCACAAUGUCGAUUUGAAAAAUACUAAACCUAGAUGUGCACUAAUAAGCAGUCCGUAUAUGGUUGUACCUCAAAAUCAAGUUUAUUUUCUGGAGAAAAGAGGCAUUUGUUAUUGUGGUUACUAUUUAUUUAUAUUCAUAGUCCUUCCCUCUAUCAAAAUGAUGUUUCAAAGUUUGGCUAACUAUCUACCUUAUGAAUAAUUAUGAUCGUUGACAGAUCGAUCAUCAUAUGAAGAAUGGCACGUGCGCUGUCAUGUACUCCCUCCGUCCCAAAUUAUAGGUCGUUUUGACUUUAUUAGAUUCAUAGACUUUGUUAUACACUUAGAUAUACCCUAUGUCUAGAUGCAUAAUAAUAUCUAUGUAUCUAGAAAAGUCAAAACGACCUAUAAUUUGGAACGGAGGGAGUACGGUUCUUCUUGUUGUAGUUAAUACUAUAAUGCUUUGGUUCCAAGCAUUGAGUAAAUCCACAUUAUUCCACAACAUUUAUUAAGAACUAUGUUUAUAAACUAAUAACUAGACUUUUCUGAUUUCAGAACUCUGUUUAUGAACCUAUAUACACAUAAGUAUAUAUCAUAAUGCAUAAGGGCUUUCACUUUAAGAUCCUACAGUGCACAUUUAUAAACCCCAAUACAUACGUCUUCAUCAUUUCAUGUAACCAUAAAAGCCGUAAAUGAAUGCUGGAAACAAUAAAUAAAGUGAAAAUGAUUGGAACAUAUAUAUACAUAUAUACGCCUAGCUAAAGACCAGAUGACCAAAUAAUAUUUAUUCCAUUUCUAGUCGAUUCAUAUGCUACAAAGGUCUGAAUUUUCAAAUAGAAAUUGACAUAUCAUUACACCCUCUAUUCAUGUGAUGAACUGAAUAAUAGAGGAACAUUGCAUGGGACUAGAACUGCCUCAUCCUACUCCAUUACACCUUAACCCAUGUCCCAGCCCAAAUAAUUAAGUCUCUACACAUGCAUAUACAUCCGUAUUCAUAUAUAGAAUACGUGCUACUAAGCACGCAUACAGGCAUGAGAAUGCUAGCUUAAUUCUUGCCCUAGAUCAUGCCUGCAUCAUAUGUGUGCGUGCAUGCCCUCGGAAAGUCACUUGAAGUUUGUGCAAACCUUGGGUGAUUCUAGGAGAGGGUUCCAGUCCCAAAUCUUUUCCAUGCUAGGAAAAGGAAGCAAUGGACCUUGUGAUGAUGGCAAGGGCUGGUUAGGGUUUCCCUGGUUACUGUAUGACCCAAUUGCCCUACUCAGCUCAUCUAUGGGAAUGGUUGCCAUUGUAGUGGAGUUUGCAUUAAGCAGGGCGUGUGUGGAAGAAGGCAGCAGCUGUGGGUUGGCGCCCUUCAUGUGGUAGAGUGAUGUACCGUCCUCCUCCGUCGACGUGGUGGAGCUAAGCGAGGCGGUUGACAGGAACGCCAUUGAUGUCUGAGGCGCCAUUGUUGCUGCUGCUCGAGCUGCAGCUGAUGAUGCCAUGAUUGUGCCACUGUAUGGCUUGUUCAUGUGAGCUGAUGAUGAGUGGCCACCGUCGAACAUUGGUGCCAAGCGUGGCGAUGCUGACGUCCGGUGGUGCUUCUUUUCCAUCGAUGCUGCCGCCUUUGAGCCUGAUGAUCUUGUGUUGGUGGUGAGGUGAAAGUUGUCUUCAAUCCCAGGACGUUUAUACACUCGGCAAAGGGAAAUCUCCUGCAUAUAUAAUAUGAAGAUGAAUUGAUCAAGAUUAAUCCAAAAUGAAAUUGGUGUUUGUAAACGCAGACAAGAACAAUUAACGCAUGCAGGAGAGACUACAAGUGUUCUUAUCCAUCCAGUGAUUUGAUCAAACAUAGUACAUACACCUGGUUAUUGAAACAAAGGAAGUUUGCAGCCAGGAAAAAAAGAAGAAGAGAGAUCACAAGUUAUAACAAAACUUUGUUGCGUUAUUGGAAAAAAAAAUUCCAAGGGAAGCAUGUUAUCUUUCAUGUUGCUCUAAAUAAAUAAAGAUAUAUAACGAGUUCAAAGUAUAAUUAAAUUUCCUUUUCAGCUGUGGAUCAUAUAUAUGUUUCAUUGCUUCUAGAGUUCCUACUACUAUUGUUUUAUAAUAACCAUGGAGUACAUGUGUUUUCCCCUUUCGAGUAGUUAGUCAUGCCAGGUUUCCACAUCUUAAAAAGUAAGUUGUAAACUUUUUGGAUAUGAAGGAUGUUGAUGAUGAAUACUUCCAAAAAGGAGGAACAAGCCUUUCCAAAGGAAAAGUGAAGAAAAAGAGUCACCGAUCUGUGAAAAAAUUGGGGAGAACCUUUUUUUUCAAGCUUCCUCCAAGUACUGAAGAAAAAAUUGAGAUGCACCAGCUGCAUGUGAUGCAAAUAGCCUAAUUAACUGUGGAAAAAAAUUGGGAAGGGCAUGCAUACGUAGAUAUCUAAUUCUAAUUAGCUAGGUUGAACCACAACCAUAUGGGGAUCUUAGCUAGAUCUUGCUCAUGCAAUAAUUCUAGGGAGCACCUUUAACACUUUUGCGCAACAGUUUGCCUAUACACAUGAUGCCAGCCGGCGAUCACACGAACAGAAGCUAGCUAGCAAUCAUAUCAACCCAACUUCCAAAAAGUGAGGGGAAUUUUAAGUGGAAGCAUCUUUCAUAGAACACUUUAUGCUUUUCAGGGAUCUCAAAGAAAAUUCAAAAACCAAUCCAAUUAAGGAAAACAAAAAUAUCCAAUGAUAGAUGAACAAAAUUUCUCAACGGAAAAAAGAAACAUCUCUUCACAUAUUAGUAGAUGGAAAUUGCCCAACCUUUUGGUACCGGUCUGCCUCGCCAUGAGGAAGGCGGUACUCGUUCAUGAUCCAGCUGCUCCUGAGGCCCUUGGGCGCCUUCCCCACGUAGAACACCAGAGUCUUCUUCAGCCCGAUGGAGCGGUUACCCUCGACGCGCACCAUCCGAUCUGCCCCUGUGGCCUUCCAGUAGCCCGACGGAGUGACCCGGUUCGGGCGGUCGCCGUUGCGGUACUUGCGGUCUCUCGGCACGUAGAAGAACCACUCCUUGUCCCCAAUUGAAGCCAGAGCUGUUGGUUGUUUAAGUAGCGCAUCCAUGAUGCAUAUAUUAGUCACCAAAGAAAAGCAAGCAUCGCAUGCAAGAAAAAAAAUUUAAAGUAAGCGAAAAAGCUAAAGGCUCACAUGAAAUCAAAACGAGUAAAGGGGGUCACAUGCAUGAAAUCAUGGCAGAUCCCCAUGUUUACUUAUUGGUGCUAGCUUAGCAGGAGCUAGCUGGUAGCCGUCGUUCACAUGCGUUGCUUACCGGGGAGAUCCCACGGGUCGUAGCGGUAGAGGUCGACGAGGUUGAUGAGCUCGAUGUUGAAGCGCUUGCCCUCCACCCUCCGGCGGAGGUAGAAGUCGAUGAGCUCCUCCUCCGUCGGGUGGAAGCGGAAGCCCGGCAUCACCAUGUCGUGCGCUUGCUGCUGUCCAUCGUCGCCGCCGCCUGCGCCGCCGUGGUGUUGGUGGUGGUGGUGAUCUCCUCCCAUGGUCGACGGCGGCCUCGAGUCAUUACCUCCCCUCCCGGCAGCCAGCCUUGCUUUAUAGUAGAAGCAGGAGAAAGAUGAGGAGGAGGAGGAGGAGGAGGAGGAGGACUAGUACAAGACGACGGCCAGCCCUAACUACACCCACACGCCACACAGAGAGGCAGAUGGAGACCCAACUAGACAAGGGGACGGGGCGGCCGGCCUAUACCGCUGCGGGGAGUGGUGUGGUCUCCUUCGGCCCUUGGACGAAUGAGGGUGAUUGGUGCAAGUGGUGGUACCAUUGGUGUGGUGAAGUGAAGGGCCGGCUAGGGGGAGGGAGAGAGAUAAGAAAAGAUUAGAUGUCCACCUAAUUAAAAUUUAUUAAUUUAAACAGCACCAAUUAAGAUGAGGAUCUGUCGAUAUGUGCCGGUAUUAAUGGCUGUUACUUUUAGCUUAGCUAGGUACAUACCACGCCCAAGAGUAUGAGAGAGAGAGAGAGAUCACUGUGCCGUCUUGUAAAGUAGCCCUGGUAAAAAAGAGAGAACGAUGUCGUUAGACUGCUAGGAGGUUCUUACACUGUAGUAGCAGUAGCUGCAUGCUAGCUACAGUAGGAACUGGAAGAGGGGACCUCUCCAACGAAACCUCAGCGGUGGCCUAUAAAUUUGAGCAGUGCUGUGGUGCAGCUGAUCAGCCUUCCUAUAUAAUGGCAUGUCCGGUUCAGCUAUAAAAAUGUUUCUACUGUUUGAGCGUGUAGCUAGAAGGAAGCCAGCUAGCUCAAUCGACUGCACAUCGGCGGAGUGGGACAGUGGCUGUGUUGCAUGUGUGAGAUAGAUUCUCGUAGCAAUUUUCCUGCUCAUGAGUAGCAUCAUACAGAAGCACCAAAUUCACAUAUUUAUCUUGAAAAAUCUCUCAUAAAGGAAACAUAUUUUCAGUCCCAAAAAGAUCAUCUUCUUCACUGUUCAUCUUUAAAAGGCCCUCCAUAUGCAUUUCACAAGUUAUUACAGGUGAAAAUUCAAACCGUUUCACUCAAAUGUUGUGUCUUUGUAUCUUGUGGUACCGAAAAAAAUUCAAUAAAUGUCAAAGAAAUCUGACAAAUAUAUACAAAUACGAUAGGUGCAGCAAAAUUAAAUAACUAAUCGAGAGUAAAUAGCAAAGUUUUGUAUAUUAAAAAAAUUCUAUGCCAAUAAAGAGGUGCACUCGACCGGUGCAAGUUGUCCUCUUGUAUAUUCACGCGUGCAUGUAAGCUAUAUUGGAAUUUGGUCUGCAGGUAAGUACGUGUCUUGGCCUCGUGCUAGCUCCUCCUUUUAUGCUUCAGCCGGCCGGCCGGCGUCCGACGACUCAAAUCAUCUCAUGCUGGCCCAAUUAAUCCUUCAGCUGUUCCUGUCUACCUCAAUAGAUUUACACUUCUUGAAAAAACUAAACCUAGAUGUGCACUAAUAAGCAGUCCUUCUGAUUUGAUUGAUCGCCCCCAGCUAUGAUCUUCUCCAUGAAUUAUGUAUGGGUGCGUACGUGAUAUAUACGAGAGAUUUUACGGUGCUUAGAAAUCUUAAGAGCUGUCUAUCUCCAGAUCGGAUGGUUAAAAAGUAGAAGGAACCUAUUACCUAGCAUUGGUGGGUCAGGAACUAUUUGUAAAAAAUAGAGCAAAGGGUACAUCUGUAUUUUCAUGACUCCCAGCGCCGUCGCAUCACCCCCGGCGGACACGCUUACGCGUUCACGCUGCCCAGCCGACGCAUCCCACCGGCCCACUCCGCAUGCGAUUCGCUCCUCCUCCUCCUCCUCCUCCAACCCUAGGAUCUUGCGGAGCGUGAGCAGGUCUCGGAUGCAGCGCGCGAACGACGUCGAGGCGGAGCCGCCGCCGUCGGAGGAGGCCUCGGCGGCGGCGUCGAGGCCGGCGUUGCCAAGGACAGCGUACAUGGUGCCUCGAGAGUCGGCGAGGAGGCUGCAGUCAUUAUAAUUCUAAUUCUACCAAAUAACCAGACAUUGACUUGUAUAAUCAGCAGUCUCUUAGAUCGAUUAAAAAAAAAGCAGUCUCUUAGAUACUCUACAAGGGAUGUAUAAGUGAAAAUGGUUUAAUUUAACUGGAUAUGCGUACAAUCAUUCCGAACAAUUUUUAAUAAUGAGUGGCCAACAGUUUUGAUGCUUCCCACUAUUUUUCCUUGAAUGACCGACAGUUUUUCUAGUGUAAUUUGCUUCUUUCCUAACAGUUUUAUCAAAUCACCCACAAUGUAAUCCCCCACAAACUCAUUUUUCACGGUUAUGGUAUCUAGUUAUUCAAAUGUACUAAAAACCGUUGGCCAUUUGUAAAGACACUGUUGGAAAAAGUAGUAUUCUUGUAGUGCUCGCAAGAGUUUUUAUUUUUGUAGGAGGGCAAUUAAGAGUUGUAAGGGAUGUAAUCCCCAUCUAUCCCCUCUAAUCCUCUCCGAUUUCCACCAAACUAACAAAUGUCCUUGAAGGGAAGAAAUUCUUCGCUCUGGGAAGAAAUUCUUUUUGCAAGCAAACAUGAGAGUAUUGUUCCAAUAACAAUAUUAAGCACAUACAGAAAAUAAUCUUUACUCCUGGAACAGCAUCAAGACCCGCACCAUUUCAAAUACUAGGUGAAAUUAAUUGAGGAGCUAGCAUUUGACCAUAUUUUUGAAAAUUUCAACACUUCACAUUUUUGCCCGAUAUGUACACCCUUAUAUAUCUACACACACACACAUGCAGUAGUUAGGGUUUGGGUAUGCAUAAUUUUGCCUGUUUAUGGACACAAGUCGGCAUUUAUACCUAGGAUGUCCUUGUGGGGAAGUCUUGCCAUGCAUGCCGGUAAUUUAAGGCAUGUGCCGCUGUUUGCUCCAGCUAGUGCACCGUAGCACAAUUAACAAGAGUACAACACCUGUCAGUGUGUAGUAGCAGUGUCCUUGCGAGGGUUUUGGGGGAGGUUAGAACAUCUCCAUAAUCUCUGUUGUACGAGCAUGCAUCACUGUGAUCAGUCAAGGGAUACCCGUGACUUGUACUCAUGCGCAUCUGUUUGUCGGUCUGUGCGGCUGCAUCCGUUGUGCAUCGGCAAGGGAAGAAUUUCAGUAGCAUAUGUGCAACUGUGUGCAAAAAAAUGCUGUCUAGCUAGAGAGAUGAAUAUCAACUUACUAUAUCAUGAGUCGGACGUAUACUUUUCGAAUAGAUAGAGAUUGCAAAAGCCUAUUGCUACACAAAGUUUGGUACAACCCCACCCCAGGGGCUUUUUGAUAAUGCUCAUCAGCCAUGAGCUGAUACAGUGCGUCCAUCCAUAUCGAUUUUCCAUUCGCGCACUCUCACAAUGCAAAUGCGAUCUUACAAUUCGAUCGAUAUAAAGUUCCUUAGGUAGCUAAAGGAUCAUCCCUUGAUGUCGGAAUAAGGAAUUGUCGUUAUUCAUGCAAUCCUGGAUGGGUAGUUUUCAAAGCACAUGCAUCUUAACAUGAUCAUGAGAUCGAUGAAUAGUUCCGUCGUCACUAGUUGGAUCUUUUUUUUCAACCCCCUCACUUUUUUCUCAAUUGUCGUAUCAAUAUAUAAUUCCCCACACUAAGAGGUGUAAAGGAGUAGUAAAAAUAAUGGAAGGUAAACGGAGUGCGCCUAGAUUAGGAAUGUAUGUUGACAUCCUAUAUAUGUUGACUAUUGCAGUCCAAUCAGAUGUCUAGAAACGUAUGUAAAUGACAACUGGACAAGAAAAAGGAAGAAGAACAGGAAGCCCCUCAUUCUAAUUAAAUAGAUGCAUGAAUGAUCAUCUCUUGAACUAUAUAUUCAUGUACAAUUCUACGGUCUUCCAAUUAUUGAUAGGGACUACAUUCUUGUUUAGUUUUACGCCAAACAUGGGUCUAAAUGAAAGACAGUUCUUCUAUAAACUUUUGGAGGAUUCCCUACCUUACAUCAGGCUUCCUGAAAGAACCAAUAAUCAUGAACAUCUUUUCAUUAUAAGAGCUUCCCUUUAACCUACCAGCUAUAGGCUCUUUAUUUGUCUCUCUUUGUCAAGCUAACAUUUUCUUUUGACUUAUUAAUACCUUGUGCUAGCACAUAGAUUAUGUCAUCUAAGAUUAAUAAAACCAUGAGACAAAAAUGUUUCCUUCCCAACAGUCAGACCGUUUCCAAAAUAUGUUGGCAUCAAAGCUAAAGUCAAGUAAUGUAGUAUAAUAUGUUCGAUCUCAACAACGAUACUAUCAUAGGGUAUAUAUGUAGCUGUGGUAUCUUUCAUACUACUUAUGUAUUCACCUUAAAGUUGUUCUUUGUUACAGCUAUAUGAAGGCUAGAUGCAUGCAUUCUUUUUUUUAAGUAAUAGGUCUUCAUAACUGUACUUUCUUAAAACAGGGGGAAUAUAUAUAGCUGAUUUGCAAGCAUAUAAAGUUGCAAAAUUAAAAAAAAAUCAGUUCACCACAGGAAAAUAGCACAUAACCCGCAUUGUUGAUCGAGCAAGUUGCAUACGAAUCACAAGCUAGAUCGAAAGCAUUAAUGGAUGAUAAAUUCUUGUUCCUUCUUCCACAUGAUGCACCUUUCAAAUUGAAUUCGUCAAGCGGACUCCAUACGGCAAGAACAGUCGCCACUCGGUUAUGAUAUGCUAGGAAACACGUAUGCGAAAAAAAUAAAUGGGUGGCGUAGAUUUACUAGAUCUCUAUAGAUUGUUUAGCAAAUAUCUAGAAAAAAAUUUGAUCCUUGGAAAUUUAAUUGAUUUGUUUGACAAACCAUAAAUGUGUAUGAAAAGUUCAAUGAAUGUGCCAAUACUUUGACUGAUUGAAUAAGAUGGCAUAGUUAUCUUCAUUUACCUGAGAUUGAUCGACAUUAGUUACCUAGCAAUUGCACCGUAAAAUCGAUCUGUGGAUAACUGUUAGCCUUACUUGGUUAUCUUCUCUCUCUUUUUUUUACAAAAUUGUGGGGAUCAAUUCAAGAAAAUAACCAGAAAUGAUAUGAUCAUGACAAAAAUAUAUAGGAGGUAGCAUGUAUGGACCAGAUUUAGCAAUUCUUUAUCUGCAGAUAAUUUUAUAUGUACUUGUCAUCAGAAAUAUGUUGUCAUCUUUGAUGUUUCGUAAUUCAUAAUUGUAUGUGUGUAAAAAGAAGCAAUUAGCUAAGAAAAGUGUACUACUCCUACAACACUUGAUAAUUGCAGCUUAAUUGUACGCAAGGAAAGUGUGCAGUCAUGCAUGAGCAGUUUCUCCAUUUGAUGUGUACAAGUAUCAAACUACGUUCGCGCCUAACUUUGUUUUCUGCACAUCUUCCAGCUUCCACCACUGCACCGCACCAUGAUUCCAGCUCUUACUAGCUUGGAAAAGCAUCAUCUGCAAUACCUGCAGAAAAUUAAAGAGACGUGGCAUUGUGUUGCGUUCUUCUUUUUACAUGCCAGAUUGCAGCAUGAAAUGAAGAAGCCAUGCACCAGAGGUCGCCGACGAUGGAAUACACAGGAGCAGCGGCUGGCCGGCCGAUCAGUCGGUGGGGGCAAUUUAGUGAGUUCGGUGACCGGGUCCCACAUGCAAAGCAAGCAUAGGAGGGAGACGCCUGCUUGCUUUUAAUGCGGCACCGCAUGGCGCAUGGAAGAACCAAGCAGGGAUGCCCUAGCGAUCAGGAAGGCUGUUCCUAUUGGUCCCCCAUUGAUGGAUCGUCCCCAGUCUCAUCGCGCAUCCAUCUCUCACUGUCACCUCUUCUUCUUCCUUUUUUUCUCAGUUCUUCUCCCAUCCGCUGGAGGUUGAUCCAGUCUAAGCGUGGUCUUAGCAGCUUGUUAGGACCUGGCCAGCCAAUUGACCUUGUACUGUAUUACCUUGUGAAUAAAUUUCACCUUUUGUAAGUUCCAGAUGUUACGAGUCGUAGGAGCCAAAUAAAAGAGAGCAACCGUACCGUAGUCAACAGAGAGAUUUGAAGAAAACAGCUAGCCUCCACCCGUACCCAGCAGUAGUAGAAGCUAGCUAGCAAUGAGCUAGAAUAUGAGAACGAUCCACUAGAGAACAGGUACAGUGCUGCUUCAGUUGUGCAUGGCACAUGGUUAGUUUAGCGUGCAUGUAAAGAUCAAAUGAAAUGGUGCACUGAAUUUGUGCGUCCCAUGCAUGAGGAAGAGACUCUGACAUAUAUUCCGUAGCUUCGUAUAGAAGAAAAUCGAGGAAGAGCACUCUCAUUUGGUGGUACAGUUGCUCAGUAGAUGGAAGAGACGGCAACAUAUUUAAAAAAAAGCAUCUUGAUGCUAAAUAACUGUGGUAACUCCUAGUCCAAAUUAUGGCACAAUCGAUUUAGAGUAAAACACGACAUAUAAGAAUGGACAUAUAUCAAUUCUAGUAAGCCAACUACAUUAUUGUCUGAAACUAUUAAGUACUAUAACCAUUCUAGUGCGUUGGAUGGGCUGGCCACAGAAUAAGCUAUUCUAUGGCCGACCAUAGAGUAUACUCCACACACACACAUAUUCAGGAGGAGACUUGGAUUAUAUUCAGGGUUCUGUUAGGCUGUUGGGAUAACCACACUACGACAGCUUGUCACUGAUAGUGGAAGGACAUUAAUUUCAACAAGCACCAAAAUCAGCCUAAGAUUGUCGCAACAUAAUCAAAGAAGGAAACAUAUGCAUCAUAGAGAUAAUCACAACAACAACACAUGCAUUGACCAUAAGACACCAAUUUCAACGUAGAAACCCCAAAAUCGCGGUAAAACCCACAGGACCAAGCAGCCACCCAAAUAUCCAGAUAGCACUACAAGGUCAUAUACAUCAAUACUUUACCAUCUUAGACAACAACAUAAAUAUUUGGGGGCAAACAAUCGAUUAAAGGCAACAGUAUUGCGGAUCUGAAGCCUCACGCGACCCUGAGAACGGAUCUUUCUAACUUUCUUCCAAGAUCUUAUCCCCAAUCACCUUCUUCUCCCUAUCUUCUCCCUCCUUCUCUCCAUUUCAAGGGGAUUUUUCCUUCUCUUGAACCCAAUUACAACGUAUGUCAAAGUUGUUGUGGGGAUGCUCAUUAGAAACUCAAUACGUAAGAUUUCUUAAUAUGGGCUGCAACUCACUUGCAAAUCUGGGGGGCAGGGGGGCUAGAGGGAGGCUGGGGUGGUGCUCGGUGAGUGGGUGUGGCGUGGGGCCAAAAAAAAGAGGUAAAGAAAAAAUACUAUCUGAUGGAUUCGAUGGUUGGGGAUCAUAUUGACUGUAUCCGAUUAUUUUUCUCAACCAAGGAAGAUAUGUGCUUCACUAAAAAGUUAACACAUUGUGAGUUGGACUAUUGGAGUAGGUUUUUCGAUGAGGCUGUGUAGAGCCCACUCGAGUAGUAUUUUUUGCCUAAUUCACACUCGAAUUUAUAGCCAUCCAUACAUUCGAUCCAAUGGUGCAGAUUUAUCCCCUUCCUCAACACUAUCCUCUCCAAGGCACACGUGUGUAGCUCGCCUACCGCCACCGAGCAACUUCCCUACACCUUCCUCGACACCGGAGACGACUCUGGUGGUGAGCCCCAGCCCCCCUCCAUUGAUCGUGGUAUCACAUUUUCCGGCUUUAGUAAGCUUCUAAGUUCGUUCCCCAUUGAAAACCCUAACCUCUGAGCUCACCAAACCUCUUUAGAGAUAAAUAAGAUGAGUUGAGUAGCAUGAAGAGAAAAUUCGGAUGUCAGGGACACCAAAAUGCUCGGCCGGGUAUGAGAUUUAGCUUUUCACCUUUUCGUUCGAUCCUCCGGUCACCACCGACGACCUUGAUCACGAACGAACUGGCCGCGGUCGCGACGCGCUUGACGGGCCGACCGGCCGGUCAAGCUGGUGAUCGCUGGAGAGUCCAUCAAGUGUGGCGGUCCAGUUGGUGCACGCGCCGCCGCUGCCACGCGUGCCUAGCUAGCUCGCCUCGUUUACUAGCUCCGUCAUUUUCUUUUUUACUCUGCAUGCGCGGCCUGCAGCAGCUGCCGCCGUCCGCUUAGAGCAGGCCCACAUACGCCAAGCACGUCAGCACUGCUGCUGACAUGGUAGAGAGAGGGUCGGAGAGUGAAGGGGGCGCUACAUCCGUCGAUCAGCGCAACGAGUUCCGAUGCAGGUCAUGGGUCCCGUGCGUGUGCAUGCAAGGAUGGUUGUGAGAGAGAUGACCGGUGGGUGGGAUUGGUGGUGGGCCAGGGAAAGAUUAAAAAAUUUAAUGCGAUGUACCAAGAAACAAGUUGUUGUAUACAUGCUUGUCUAAAUGUGUCAAUUCUUAGAGAUAAGUGCUUGUCUCUUUUAUUGGUCUUGCUCUUAUUUGCAUUGCGUGCUGUCAACCUACGUGUACGACCUUGCUAGCAAAUAGCAAUGCUUUGAAUAGUAUAUACUACUGUUAUACGAUCCCCAUAUGAACAAUGCGCGUGUGUCGACUGCAGGGAAUCCAACACUAAAGGAGAUGUUUGGUUCGUGAAGAUGUAACGUAAUCAAUUUACAGGCGUUAAGCGAUACCGUUACGUAUGUUUGUUUCAACCUCCUCUGUAAUUUAAUUACCCGUAAUCAGAUAUCGGCCCAAUUACAGUCCCAUUACGUCCCUCCCUACCCGGUAUCGCAUUGCGAUACCGCUCCCCGAUGCCGCCCCUUUCUUUUCCCAUUAUAUUGUCCCUCUCUUUUCCCCAGAUGCUGCUCCUCCGCCCGUGCGUUGCCCUUGCUACUCCUCCGCACGAGCAGCUUCGUUGGCGACCACACGCACCAUGGUGAGCCCUUGCUCCUUCCCCCUCUCACUCCCUCUCUUCCUCGUCCACAUACCCAGAGAAGUUUCUCUCAUAACCCUAACCCUAGCCUCGGUUCUUUUUCAAAGGCUGUAGAAAGAUCCGAGGGAAAGGAAGCACAGGGACGGGAGGAGGAGCUCAUCCGCCAUCCGUUUUACUGACAGGAAGAUCAACGUGCACCACAAAUACUCCUCCCUUGGUGAGUUUUGCCUAUCUUCCUCCUCAAGUAAGAUAUCCUCCUCUUUCUUCGAUGACUCUGAAUUCCCCUUAUUUGAUCUAGUUUUGUGUCGAUCGAUUUCUUGAAUCAAUGUAUUGUUGAUGAUGUGGUUGAUAACUCGAGAUGGAUCUAUGGAUUGUAUGUUCUUUACAAUUAAUUCUGAUUUUUUUGCUUCUGUUCAUGAAUACAGUGUGCAGUUAAUCACUUCUUGUCCUUGACUUGAAUCAGAUUCCUAAUUUUGCAUCACUGCUCCAAUUAUAGAUGUUAAUUUGCAAUCUAGUACAACUGAACUCGUAUACUUGUGUGUCAAGAUACUUCAUAAUAGAGGAAUAGAUCUUUGUUGGUAAAUUAGAUGUUAGGUUGUUCUUUUUUCUUUUUUCUCGUCGGAGCAGAUAUGACAAAAGCUGAGCUGGCGGUGGACGUCAAGUCAACGGAAGGUGCCGAGUCGAAAGAGGCAGCGGGAUUGAAAUCUGUCGGCAUGGUCCCGAAGCGAAGCUGGAUCGGGUUGGCGAGGUAGUCCUUCAUGCUCUCAUGGAAGACAACGUCGGGGCGGGAUGCCAUCGAGCCCACUAGGGAGGAUCCCACAAUCACCCCUACAUGGCGCGCCAACUGUCAGACUUAUAAGCCCGGCAGUCCACCAGGGGGUUACCCAAGUGGUUGAUUUGUAGGUGGAGGUGAUUGUGAAACCAAGAACUCGAAGGUGAUCGCGAGAAUACAAGGGACACAAGGGUUUUAAACAAGUUCGGACCUUCGGAGAGUAAUACCCUACGUCCUGUAUGCUUGGUGGCUUGUAUUGCUUGAGAAUUUCUAUGUCCUCGGGAGGCGCCCCCGGCCGCCUUAUAUAGGCUGACAACCUAGGGUUACAUGUCGGUUUGAAUCUAAUCUACUUGGUUGUUACAUGGAAGGCAAUUUGAGUCAGAUUACAAUACUACAAUAUUUGGGCUGAUUUGAAUCGCCCGGACGAGCCUACUUGUCAGAUCUGGCCAGUAUCCUGGUCGGUGGGGACCCAUAGGGUACCCAUAUCCCUCAUGAUUAAACUAAACAUGCUUGAUAUGGUCAGCUGAGAGCCACUGGUAGUACCAUAGUAUGCUUUGUUUUCGUAUUGUGAGUGAAAUCGGGAUAACGGUAGCUCCCCAUUGGUUAAUGUAAGGAUAGCUCAUGCAUCUUUGUUUGACCGAAUUAAAGCAAGUUACAUUCUCUCUCAGCACUCGGCACUUCAAUAAAAAUAGAUAACAUUGCAGACACAUGUUUCCUAUAGUAUUACUCGUAAUAGUUUCUCCUAGCCCUGGCUAAAUAGGCACGAGAUAUGAUUAGUGAUGUCAGCAAAACAGUUUGCCAUGGUGAGAUUCUGUUUAACUUAUUGAAGGUCAAUGGUGUUACUCGGUUCGGCACAAAGAUAAUCGCUAUUUUCCAAAAAAAACAAUCCUUAAGCCUAGACAAAUAUUCAGUGCAUGCUUUGCAUUCAAGAGCUGAUCCUACAGCAAUGUCAUUCACAAUUCUUUAGCUGAUGCUUCUCAGAGAAGUAGUAAAGAACUAUGAUAUCUGUUCCCAUGACCAGUUGCUUAGUGAUAUGUUUAGUGAUAUGUGUCACUUUGCUAUCUUGUUUCGGAUGUUUAUUUACUACCAUAAUUCAGAUGCUUGUUCUUUCACAAGAAUUCAGUCAAGAUUACAGUUAUAUCAUUCCAAUAUAUUCUAAUAUAUGUAGUUGUAUGUUUGCAAUUUAAGGAUGCUAAUCUUGGGCAGAAAUAUUCAAUCAACUAAUGAUAAUGGAAGUACAUCUUGUUGAACAUUGUUGAUGAAUCGAUAUACCAUUAUUUUCAGAAAAAAAUAACACCUCGUACCUUAACUUGUCACCAUUUUUGUAGAUGAGAGAAGAAGAUAGAAGGUGGAACUAGAUCGGUAAUCAAGCGACAACGAAUCUAAAGUUCAAAAGGGUGCUGAUUAUACUUGCUGUCUUCCGUUUGAAGUGUCUCAUUUUACCUAUGUCUCCUUGGUUAGCUGAUCAUGCUUGCUGUCUUCCGUUUGAAGUGUCUCAUUUUACCUGUCUCCUUGGUUAGCUUUCAGUCUAUGUUGAAUACCUUUUUACAUCAUGAGGCUGCAAAUUUGCAUUAGUUAAACCUCCUUGUAUUAUAUGCUACAGCAUAUAGAGAUAUGCUAGUUGCUAUGUCUGGUCUCAUGAAUAGUUGUUAAAUUUGAAAAUUAUCUUCCAAUACAUGAGUUGCAAACCAAAUAGUUGUAACGGUAUCUAAUACCAUUACAUUGUCCAAACAAACAAAUCCUGUAAACAGCGAUCCCACCUCAAAUGCUCCCGUGAUUCAUUUACAGUCGCGUUACGUUACCAGUGCGGCAACUAAACACCUGGCAAAACUUCUAUAAAAAAAACAACUUCUCCUCGACGAGGCCUACCGGCCUGCGGGGCGCUGGGUUUUUUCUACCCGGAAAUCCACACUUGUGUACGAAAGGCCCACUCCACUACUGUCCGGCCGACGAGCCCAUCAUUGACUUCGCGGGGCGCCGGGCUGCCGCGCGCUGCGUAGGUAGAGUAGCAGCAGUUGCCGCAAGACCACCAUCCCUAGCCUCCCACAUGUUGGGCUGGGCCGUCCGUGCGCUGCUCGGCCUCGCCACGUCCAGCAGCGCCGCCGAUCACUCCAUCACUGACUGCUGAGGUCGUCGUGCACUUUGCGUGCAAGCACUCGCAUCUCGGAGCCCAAGGCAGCACAGACCUCCAAAGCCGGAGUGCAAUCUACUCCAGCUAUCCCUUUUCCGCGUCGUAAGCUAGCCGCCGUAGCUUCCUACGAUCCGGACGAAGAAGCCACACACGGCUUCACGCCGCCUCCAUUCUAGCUGCAUUGUCUGGUGAUCUCUGGUCCAGAGCAGCAGCGCGUCGGCGAGCGAAAGGGAUCGUACCAUGGAGGCCGCCGACCUCCUCGACGGGAACGGGAAGAACAAGCCGCCGCCGCAGCCCAGGCGGCGGCGGUGGUACUGCAGCACGACGGCGGUCACGCUGCUCAUGUUCCUGCUCACCAACACCGUCUCCAUCGUCGUCUCCUCGGGCGCCGGCCCCUCCCUCCUCCGCCGCUACAAGCCCUCCACCAUCCGCCUCUGGGACGGCUCUGCCGCGCUCCUCGCCGACCUCAACGCCACGCAGGCCGACCUCGCCGCCAGCCGCGCCGAGCUCGCGGGACUCUACGCCCGCGUCGGCACCGCCAACGAGCUCCUCCGCACCCUGCUCGACGCCAUGGCCGCGCGGGACGCCGCGGACAUCGUCGCCAUCGCCGGCGGAUGGAAGCGAGAGCCCUCCGGCGAGCUGAAGCUGGCCGUCGGACCACAUAACACGUCCAUGACCGCCGGACACGGCCGGAACGCCACCGGCGAGGCGGCGACGGCGGUGUUCCCGGCUCUGGGCCACGGGUGCGUCCGCGUCCAGGACGACCUCGAGCGAUACAUGAACUACACUCCCGGUGGGGAGUGCCCGUCCGACGAGGCGCUGGCGCACCGGCUGAUGCGCAGCGGUUGCGAGCCCCUAACGCGGCGCCGGUGCCGCGCGCCGUCGCCCAAGGGGUACCGGCAACCGUCGCCGCUGCCGACGAGCCUCUGGGUCACGCCACCGGACACCAGCGUGCUCUGGGACGCGUACUACCCGUGCAAGAACUACUCGUGCCUGGCGAGCUCCCGCGGCGUCGACCUCCGCCGCGUCGGCCGGGAGAAGGCCCGGUGGGCGCGCGACGACGGCGCGCUGUCCUACUCCAUCGCCACCGUGCUCGCGACCCGCCCCAACGGCACGGUGCGCGUCGGCCUCGACCUCGCCGGCGGCAGGUCCUCCUACUCCCCCGGCACGUUCGCGGCGCGGAUGCUGGAUCACGGGGUCACCGUGGUGACCGCGGCCGUGAGCGCCGCCGCGCCGCUCAACAGCUUCGUCGCGUCGCGGGGGCUCGUCUCCGUGCACGUCACCGCCGCGCACCGGCUGCCCUUCUUCGACCGCACGCUCGACAUCGUGCACGCGGCGGCGGGUGGCCUCGGCGACGGCGGCGGAUCGAGGGUCCCCGCCGACGUGAUGCUGGAGUUCGCGCUGUUCGACGUGUACAGGGUGCUGAGGCCCGGGGGCCUGUUCUGGCUCGACCACUUCCCCUGCCCCGGGGCGCAGCUCAACGCGACGGUGGCGCCAAUGCUUGGUCGCGUCGGGUUCAAGAAGCUCCGGUGGAACACCGGCCGGGGGAAGGAGAAGGACCAGUGGUACGUCUCGGCGCUGUUGGAGAAGCCCAUGGCAUAAGAAAAUUGUGGGUUUUUUUCUCAUAGGAAACUAGUGGUUGUAAUAAUCCUGUAAUGUUCUUCUUGCUUGAUUCCUGCUUGUCUCUCUGGCAUUUUGCACGAUAUCAUAUUGUUCUGCUUUCACUUCACAUUUUUAAUUUUUUUUUUCAUUUUCUCUCCCAAUAGUUUGGUGAUCUUAUCAAGGAAGAUAGCAAUUUUUUAGAGCAUUUCUCCUUCUCCCAAAGGCUAUCGGCCCAAGGCCUUAAAGGAAAAUCGCAAACGGUUCAAGCCCAUUAAUAAUUUUCCCGUUGCUAGUUUGGCCCACAAACUAACUGAAGGAACGGCCCAUCAAAAGGCCCAAACAGCUCGGCGCACUCCGUUGUUCGUCUCCGCUCCGAUUCACGACCGCCGCAGCCUCCGCCGCCGCACGCCACCAUCAGACACCGCAGCCACCACCGGCGGCCGCACCAUUUGACACCCAGCUCGCGAAGGCGAACCAUAAGCCCUAGCCGUCCCCCUCCCGCCCGGAUGACCCCGAGCCGCGGCGGCGCGGAAUGGAGGUGCCCCGGAGAAGCUCGACGCCCUCGCGGGCUGGUUCGCGCAGUCCCUCUCCCUCGACGCCGCCACUCGCCGCGCCGCUGAGCAGAUCCUCUGCUCCGCGGAGUCCUCCCCGGGCUUAGCGCUCGCGCUCCUCGGCCUCGCCGCCUCCCUGCGGCACGACCUCCAGGCCCGUAUUUUUAUAAUGGGUGCUCGGAAGUGAUUGCUGUGGCUGAGCUGCAGCUGAGGCUGCGGCAGAAAGCCUGAAGCGACUACAGUGCUGCUGCAAGCCUGCAGCUGCUUGUAGCAGCAGCUACAGCUGCUAAGCUGCAUCCAAUUUUUUGACAUGGAGUAUCAGCUGAUCAACUGGCUGUGAAGCAACUGGUGCUUGAGCUACAGCCGAGCAGCUGGACUGUGCAGCUGCAGCUGCAGCUGCUGGUGAAACAGUCUCAUUUCCUCGCAAAGGAACACCCCACGGAUCUAAACUAAAAACCUCUCGCUGGACCCUCCUCUUGACCGGCAAGGUUGCAAAGCCUCAACUUUGAAGAACUGAUGUGCUGCUUGCAAAGAAGGGCUGCCCCCAUCAAAAAUUCCCUUUGUUGCUAGUAAGUAAAAUCCUUUUCUUUGGGCUUUCCUUACUUUUUUUAUAUGAUUUAUUCACCAAUCAGCGAAGCUCUUUUCAUUCCUUAUUGGAACUAUGCUAGCGUUGGUAAGAAUGUGCUGCACCGUUUCUUCCUCUUGAUCCAUUGAUAUAUUGUUGGGGAAAUUAGAAAACUGUCAAAACUCCUCUCAUGUCCCUUGUCUAGUAUCAUUGAUUCAUUGUAGCAUUUGUUAGAUGCCAAUUGAUUCUGAUCUCUCUCAAGUGAGGGUAGGGUCCCACGUGUCAUUGGGACAAUCAUAGUAUUUUCACAAAGCAUAGUUCCUUUUCCUCUUGAAAAUUUGGUCCUAACCUUUGAUUUUGCAUUUUGGCUCCUGCAUCCUACGUAGUUUCUUUUAAAAUAAAAUUUCAGGUGGGGAUGGUGAUUAAGAAGAGCAGCGAAACAGCUAGCCGAGCAACAACAUACAGGGGCAGAGAGGCACAUUGCUGAAGCACAGAACAUGUCAUGUAACACUUCAUUUCUUGCUUGUUUUAUUUUUUGCACAGAUCGCCGACAAUAGUUUGGCCCUUUUUCGACCCCAGCAACUAGCUAUGCUUCAUCAGAAUUCAGUACUCGUCUGAAACUCUGGUGAUCUUGGCCAAGCAGUUGUCCACCGGCCUGGGGUGGGGCAGGUACCUCACCCGGCAGCUGGGGUUCGUCCUCGUCAGCCUGCCAAAGCAAAGCCCAACAAAUCAUUUAAGAGAAACAUGCAUUAUUCAGAUAAGGUGUCAUAUGAACAAAGCCAAAAAAAAAACACCUGUAGUUUCUUCAUCUAAACGGUAAACCCUGAAUGAAAGAAGUUACCUGUAACCGAGGAGGAAAUGGUGGAGGAAGACGGAGAUCUCCAGCUUGGCGAGAUCGUUGCCGGGGCAGAGCCUUGCGCCGAGGCCGAAGGGGAGGAAUGUGCCGGCUCUCGGCGAGUGGCCCUGAAAGGAAACAAGAGUAUGAAGAUUGUUUGAGCUUCAUCAGGCCAUGAUCUGAUUGGUGAUGCUUCUAGGAUCGAUUUAUUCAGAAUGGCAACAGUGUCUCUGUUGCUGCUGGUACAGUACCUCCCAUCUUGAAGGGUUGAACUUCUUGGGGUCAGGGUACACUUGAGGGUCCAUGUGCACGCUCCGGUACCACAGCUGAACCUUCCAGCCCUUGGGGAUCAGGUACCCUGUUAGAAAAAUGCACACGGUGUUUCAGUGGAUUCCAGAUACAAAAAUGUGAGGCUAAUUCUGAAACUCACCGUUCACAAAGACAUCUUUGGUCGCCUGACGGAAGGACACGAACGAGAUGUUGACGAACCGCAGCGUCUCGUCGAUCACCUUCAGAUACAUAGGAGUUCAUCAGUACAGUAUAAUGUUGCUGGUUGGUUGCAUUGUACUGUCAAAGAAUGGAAUCUGGUGCGCUCAAAGUCACUGCUGCGUGAGCUGAAUAUAAUGCAUUUAAUUUGCUACAAAGAAAACGUUACCUGUGAGAGGUACCCCAUCUUCCUGAAGUCCCUCAGCGUCAGCCCCUGCUGCGUCGGUGGAAUGCUCCUCAUGAUCGCCUCCUGCUCUGCCUGGAAGAAAAGAAGCCGCAUCAACCAAACUGAUCUCCAAAUAAUGUCGUCUGAGCUGAAAAGAUUCAACCUUUUUCAGCACGAUUAUAAAUCCAGUACGGCAUACCUUGGCCUUUGCAAAGAUGUCGGGAUUCUCCUGCAGGAACACGGUGGCCCACAUGGUGAUGUGGCCGGAGGACUCGUGGCCGGCGUUGAGGUACAUGAUGAGGAUGUCGAUGAUCUCGUCGUCGUCCAGCCUCCGCCCGUGCUCGUCCUCCACCUCGAUCAGCCGGUCCAUCAUGUCCACGCUGCUGGACCGCGUGAACCCCUUGGCCGUCGCCGCCCGCCUCUCGUCCAGCACGCCCUGCAGCACGGAGACCAGCCUCCGGCGAGCCCCCAGCGCCCGCCGGUACGCGAACCCGGGCAGGUUGAUGGCCAUGGCGCGCAUCCCGUAGUUGAGGUCCGUGUAGCUCCGCUCCAGCGCGUGCAUGGUGGCGUCGUCGGCGCCGCCCAGGAAGAUCUGCACGAUGAUCUUGAACGUCAUCCGGCGGAGCUCCGUCAGGAACUCGACCUCACCGCCGUCGGCGCACUCGCCGGACCACGCGCGCAGGGACGACGUCACGGUGCGGUCGAUGAAGGGAAGGUACGCGGUGAGCGCGUCGAAGCCGUUGAUGGGCGCGGCGGUGAGCUUGCGCAGGCGGCGGUGCUCGUCGUAGGGCAUGGCCACGAACGACUUGGGCCCGAUGAGCGCCACCGUGGCCUUGGGCCACCCGGUGACGAAGCCGUCGUCGUCCAUGAGCACCUGCUUGCACGCCUCCGGCGUCGUCACCAGGAUCGUCGGGCUGCUGAACAUGAAAGCUCGGUACACGCCAGUGCGGCCAAACCUGCAUGCCAAAUUGCCAAAAAUCAGGAGUCAGGGCAACUGAUGAGCUCUCGUCAGAGUACUGAUCAAAGAUCAACACCAGACUCCAGAAUGAUCGAACUUGCGAACAUGCAUUCUGAAACAGGUCAUGUCCUAGAUGCAAACAUUUUGCACAGAAAAUCAUACUUGGAUGCUCACCAUUCAUUAGCAUUGCACAAAACAUGAGGUUAUGAGUGAAUUGCAAGAGCUAGCAGAGCCAGGAACUCGUUUUCUUUGUUACAGGAAUUUCUCAAAAAUUGGUUGAAUUCAAAUUUUUGUACUGGAAAUUUCAAUCCCUGGGGAAAAGGGGGGGGGGGGGGGGGGGGCGCACACACCCCCUGGUGAUUUGUAAAUCAGCAGGCAGAAUAUAUUAAGUCUUGUCGAGAUGCAUUCCACAUAAUGCCUUCAUUUCUGUAGUGUUUCAGCCUUUCAGGGCAAAAGACAACAUACAGAUUGCGGCAAAGCUCUGAAGAAGAAUAUUUGCAUUUUUAACACAGAUACUACCCAAAGAGAGCCGCAGCACAUAUUCGCGCAUGAAUUAAAUAGUGCUCAGCAAAUCACCAUCAGUUGAAACUCAACAGAUCACCUGAGUAUUCAUAUCAUUUAUGAAAUCACUUUGGACGGACCGACGCCCGUCGACGACAAUGAAGAAUCGACAGAGACAAAUUUGGAUGGCACCAAACCAAACACCUGUCUUACUAGCAAAGACGAUUCCUACACUACAGCAUAUGGAUCAAACAACAGAUUAAAACUUUUCUUUUACAGGGAAAAGGAUAGAUAGGAUAAGCAAAGCAGCUGCCUUUUUGACAGCAUAUGGAUGGGGAAUCAGGGACGCGAUGGGGUAGGUGCCAAGCAGGGCAUAUCAAUCACCCGGUGUUUUGUUAUCAGCAGAGCAGAGGGCAUUAGCAUUUAUCGACGAAGGUUUUGGCCAUUGCCAAAGAUGGAAUCUGCUCUGAAUGCAGGCAUGGGAGAGUGGUGGAGGUGUUGGAAAUGGAAAUCAAUCAGUCAGACAUCUCCUUUUGGGCAGUGGGGGCAGCGCCAGCAAGCAUUCCCUAGCUCCUCCUCCAUGCAUCUGAUCAGAUCAGAUCAGACGAGCCAUCACUGACUGACUGGAUGACUGUGCAUGUUUCUGAACUUACGGCAGCAGCCUGACAGAAUCGUUGAAAGUGAUUCACUGACUGCUGGAGGUGAUAUGCAGGCGUGCGUAGCAGUAGGAUAUCGUGGCGUCAUCAGGGCGCACAGAGAACUGAAGACAGAAACAGGUUGGAGAAAAUAAAAAGGAGAGAGAUGAUGAUCUUGAAGCCACACUUUGUGUGUACGUGUGCCUGUUUGAGGUCCAGGGGACAGGUUGAAGAGUCAUCCCUCCUGUUGUUUGUGCUUGCAGGUGAUGGAUGUCUUUUGGUGCAUACCUAAAAGCAUCCAUUUGAUUGCACUACUACAGUAGACUUGUAGAGAGAGGGAGAGAGACAGAUAUUGCAAGGACAAGAACAUUUCGUUCAUGCCCCAACACCAACAGGAAUUGAUGUACAAUGUUGUUCUUGGCGGCCAAACCAAACCGCAACAAUCUCGCAGUAAUUCGUCAGGAGUAGAGUGUGGAUAGCAACUCCUGUCUGAAGAGGAAUAGAGGAUGGCUUUGGCAUUGGCGAGAGAGAGAAAGAGAGGGAGGGAGGGAGAGGGCGGUUACUGGAAUGGAGGAAACUGACCGUCGGAUGAAGGAGGCGACGAAGGCGUCGGGCUUGCCGGACUUGAAGGCGCGGAGGAAGGCCCACAUGGCGCCGACGACGGGCCAGCCCAUCUCCCCCGGCGGCAGCCGCGCCCGCCUCGCCGCGCCCAGCGCCGCCUCCCUGUACCACCCGUGGAGCCUCCGCGCCCCGGCGUCGAGGAGGAAGAAGAGGAGCAACGCGCCGACGACGGCCGCCACCACCGGCGCCCACCACAUCGCCGGUGGGCUCGCCACGCCAUCGCCCACACCCACGGCCAUCUCCGGCACGGUUCCCGUGCGGCGCCGCUCGCGCAAGCAACGCAAACUCUGGGAGCGCACACCGUCGAGGCGGAAGCGACGAGAGAACUCACAAGGAUGGCGAAGAGGCCGGAGUGAAACCGUCGCUGGGUCCGCGUGCCGCUCGCUCUCUAUAAACCCAUGAACCGUAGUAGUAGGGGCUGUGCGGGCCCACAGGUACACGUCGGCGCACGGUGGACCAGGCACACGCAUGGCUUGUGUACACAAGCUCUCGCUCGGAGCACAACAAUAUCUUAUCAUUAAAUCCUCAAAAAUAAGAGAAAAUAUUAGACUUUUUCUUAGAAGAAAAGGUUACAUUUUGUUAGAGAAGUUAAAUUCUGUUGAGCAAUGUGAUCCAAAUCUAGAGUACAAAUACAGCUCUUGGUACAUUGUUCUUGGAGUUUCAUGAGGUGCAUACACCGUGCUGUUUAAUUUUUAUCACAAAAAAUGUUUGUACUUUGUAUUGGCCGGCCGGAUUGCUUGUAGUGUAAUGAGGCCGGUUUUGGUUUCUUCUCUCAACAAAUAGGGCUGCAUUACACGCCAGGUGUUGCCAAACACACGCACGCGCGUGCUUCCUUGUUGGUUUUCUAGUCGUCAUGCUUUAAAAUUUCUCACACGCGGCGGUGCCUUCUGGCACGUGUGCAGUGUGCCACCGUCGUGCAUGGACAAAUGUUGGCAGGCAGUUACUCAAAAACUUUGUAGGGAGAUAAGAGGGGCUCUUCAGUGAAGCAGCAAAGAACCUUUCGGGAGUGAUCAUCUUCAAGCAUGUAAAGAGAGAUCAAAACCCGGUAGCACACGUGUACAUGUAGCUCAUAACAGAAGCAUAAGUUGGUAGACUAGUCUUACUAUUUUAUUACUAAUUAUAAAUCCAUUUUGGAACCUCCAUGCUAAUCCUCGAUGUGCAAGGAAAAAAACAGAAAAUCUCCAAAAUUCUUAAAAAAAAGUAAAAUAUCUGACCACCGAGACUCCUUCAUAGUUGAUAAUAAUCCAUUAGAUAUACUUUCCUCAAAAUCACUCAGCUUUACCUAAUGGAUAGUAACUAAAGUAACACAUGUAUAUAAAUUAUCAAUAAUAACACAACUUAAAUCUACAUUUAAAUGACCUUAUCUAUCAUUAUUAAAAAUAAGCUAAAGUAAUCUCGCAAAUAUGCAUCUAAAUUAGUCGUAAGAAAUUGUAAACACCGCAUGCUUUUAAGUUAUACACUCUUGUAAUUAUUAAUAUGCAAAAGACCGACUCAAACAUGCAUGAUUGUGUCACCACGAACCACAUAAUUAAAAAUACAUAUUUAAUUAUAUAGUAUAUGCGUGGUUGAAAUUAAAUUGGGAAGCCAAAUAUAGCUCAUGGUAAGGUUUCAACAAAACACAUAUCCAAAACACACAUGGCUACACUUAGGUGUGGCAAAAAGUGAAAAAUCUUACUAUUACUAAUUGGAGGCUCCUUUUAAAGCCUCCAGGUGAAGCCACCUAGAAUUCCUAGGUGGACACUCUAGAAAAAGAGAGAAAUCCUAGAAAUUCUCACAAAAAAGCAAAACAUCUGAUCAUUAAUCGAUAGAUUCAAAUCAUCAUAGCCAUUAAAUCUAUUAUGUUUUCUAAAAAAUUACCCACCUAUGCCAUUAUGAAAAUAGCCUAAAGCAACCCCCCUAAAUCUAUAUAUAAAUUACCCACCUCUGCUAUUAUAUAAAAUAAACUAAAGUAACCCCCUAAUCUUCAUCAAAAUUACCCACUUACGCCAUUAUAAACAAUAUUUAAAAUAACCCCCUAAUUUGCAACCAAAUUGCCCACCGCUAUUACUUAAAAAUUUAAAGUAACCUGUUAAAUUUGCAUCUAUAUUACCCACACAUGCCAUUAUUAAAAAUAACAUGAUAACCCUACAUUUGAAUCAAAUAACCUUAAUUAAAAUAUACAGCAAUAUAUGAUUCUAAAUCGUCUAUAUCUUGCACUAUUGGUAUAUGAUAUUAUAAUUAAGUUCUAUACACAUGAUGUGUUACCAUUUAUAAAGAUAUAGAGGAAGUGAUGAGAAUAUAGAUUUUUAUAUUAAAAUUGUAUCACAAACUUAGGGUUCAUUAAACAAAUUCAAGGUAUGAAAUUCAAGCACAUACCUGUGAUGCAAAGUGAAAAGUUAAAGAUUAUAAAUGUGAAUGAAAAUAUUAUAGAGUAAUUACUAACUAAAAUCUAUCACAAUUGGAUGAAGAUAAUAAGUAUAUAUCUAUUAUGUUUGAAUAUUUAACAAACGAGAGGUAGCUUAUGGUAAUAAUUUUUUAGCAAUGUAGUCCUAUUUUUUUUCCAUUGGAGACUCCGCAUUAGUUCCAUGAGACAAGCUAGAAAAAAAAGAGACAAAUUCUCAUAAAAAUCAAAAAUAUCAAACACCAAUCAUGUAAACUCUAAUAAUCAUAGCCAUUGAUCUAUUAUAUUUUCUAAAAAGUUACCCACCACUAUCAUUGUGAAAAUAUUCAAAAAUGAGCUCUAAACCUAUAUCUAAAUUACCGAGCUCAGCUAUUAUAAAAAAUAAUCUAAAUUAAUCCCAUAAUCUUCAUCCAAUUUACUAAUACAUAAUAAAGCAUAACUUAAAAUAUCAUUCUAAAAUUUUAUCUAUAUUACCCAUGUAAGUUGUUAUUAAAAAUAACCUAAAUUAAACAUCUAAAUCUUAAUAUAAUUAUCUUCACGUGCAUCAUACAUAAAUGUCAAAAAUAAACUAAUAUAUGAUUCUAAAUUACCUAUUUAUAUCAUUAUUAAUAUAAAAAUACUAAGUUCAAGUAUAUACACAUGAUGAGUGUCACCAUUUAGACCAUUUAUACAUGUACGUGAGGAAUCGAUGAAAAAUAUUGAUUUGUAUGCUAAACAUAAUGUAUGGAGGAUUGGAGGUGCGAUACAAAAUGGAAAAAGUAUGAAUAUGGAUGAAAAAGUGCAUAGAGUAAUUAUUAAUUAAAAAUCAAUCACAAUUGGACAAAGGUAGGUACAUAUCUAUAUAAGUAUUAUGUUGAUGUAUUGAAAAAAAAUAAGAGAGUAGUAGGCAAUAAAUUUUGAUUAUUAUCUAGGAGUUUAAUUUCUAAAUAAUUUUCAAAUACAAUAGCUUCUAAAAAUAUUAGCCCGUGCGGGAGCACGGUUGAUGGACUAGUACUAUUAACGAGAAUUAAAGUCUAUCACAAAAGUAAAGACGAGCAUUGUGAUAGAAAAUAAAUAAAUGAGGUAGAGUGAAAAAUAAGUAAAUUUGAUUAAUUGUGGGAUCAAAAUUUAUGAAAAGGAUUACAGUACUUUUGGACGUAUGGAACCGAGAUCGAUCGGUUCUAAGGAAGGAAUCGUAAAAAAAACAAAUAAGAACCCAGCUAGGUUUUAUUUUUUUGAGCGAAGUCAGGGAAGUCCUACCUAUUUUUUAUAAUUUUUUUAUUUCAAACUCGUUUAAUUCGUUCUCACGGGGAGUCAAAUCUGGACCUGCUAGAUGCUACUCAAGUGCUCAACCACUGGACCAGAGAUUUUAUACAUUUGGUGAAUGUCACCAAGAAAAUAACCAUGUAGAAAAUGCUUUGCUAAAUUGACUAGCUUGGCGACGAGGACAGGGGAGGAAUCGUAGUACGAAGAUACAGGUGAUGAUGGAUCCGUGGUGAAAAAGUAGCUUGUUGGUUUUCGACCUUUUGAGAAACAUCAAGGUACAUAUAUUGUAUCGAUCAGUGAGUAGCUAGCUAGGAAUGACACGGGCGGAUCGAUGAGAUAACUUUUAGGGUACAACAGUGAUGCGAUGCGACGACGAUCGUAUCGAGCUCGGGGUACAUGACCAUAGCCUCGAUAUGGUACGUGUGUGUCGCCACACACAUGUACACUUCGUGAUCAUAUUCAUACGUGUUCAAGUAACGAGAGUGACAUGCCUUUAUCUUACACGUCGGUGGCGGCCACUGAUGAUAAAGUCUGUGAGCAGCGGUACGUGCAUCAUGUGCAUGGCUUCAGCUGGGAUUCGAUGAAAUGUACUUGAUUUAGGAUAAAACAUUUCCUUUUUCUCUGAAAGGUAGAGCAUAUAUAUAAAAGAAUAAAAGAUUUAGAAUUAGGAGCGUACGUUAGUUUUUUCUAGAUUUUUACUAUUCUUCUCAAAACCACUUUUUGAUUACUAGCUAGCUAGUAUCUUGUACGAAUUUGUAGUGUUUAUGGAUUUUGCAAUUGUAAAUUUUUCAUAUGUUGCCACUGAAUGCUACCGCAAUGUUCUUCUAAUGUCCAGCUAGCCUAUAAAUUAAAUAAUCCUGGGUUUGCCACAGCUCGUCUUCACAUAAGUAGAUUAUGCUAGCAGAAUGGCAGACGAGCAUUUGCAUUCAGCCACGUACUUGCCGCUGAAAAGUCUGGUUCUUUAGACUUGAUUGAAAUGAAAUGGCUGCAAAAGGGGGAAAAAAGGUCCUGCAGCGUGUCGACUGAGUUUAUUCAGUCACAUCUUGCAGUGCAGAUGCCGUGCAUGCAGCCACCCUAAGCAUUUUUAAUCUUUGGCGCUAGUACGGUGGGAAUCUGAUCACCGCUUGCUUGCAUUUGUCUCUCCGUUUCUAAACCGUACGGCAGAUUUUAAGCUAAAAGUAUGUAUGGUAACAAUGAAUUUAAUUAGAUUCGUUGUAGUUUACUUUACUAGACGUUAAUCUCUUUUUUAUUAGAUGUUAAUCUCUUUUUUAUUAGAUGUUAAUCUCUUCUCUAUAAAUUUGGUUACCGAACAAUUUUAACUUAGCAGGAUAUACAUUGAAAAUCAUUUAUAUUCCAAGACAAAUGUAGUACAUCAUUAUGGCCGUCGUCCAUGCCUCUGCGAUGUGCAUGAAUGUGCCCCAGCACAAAGGGAUCCAUGAUGCUGAGAGGCUGAUCGAGAACAAGCUUUAUUAAGAGUUUGUAGAAAUAAAGAUGUGAAUGAUGGCGACUGUGAACCGGGUCAGAAGAUGUAUCUUUCGAGAGAUAUGGGAGAGGCUAAGCUAGCUUCUCUCCACUCCUUUGGGUGUGCUUGCAUUGGGGCCGGAUUGCCAUGCCUCGACCCCUACCCUGUCCCCCUCCAUCUCAUCCCAGCCCAAAUGGGGAGUGGCACCAUCCUCGAAUGUGACAGGAAGCAUCCAUCACAACCCUACCAGCAAACUGACCACCGACUCGUUGACAACCAAAACAAAUAGCACUAGCACAAUGCUAGCAUCUCCUUACAUUCAUGAGUCAUGACAUUGCAUUCUGGGCUUGUGGCUGUAUUUAACCAAGGAUAAAUCCAAACAUGUCUUCAAUUCUUGGAAUUAAUGUCCUAGGAAAGAAUACCCAUUAUUUGCAAGAAACAAAUUUUAAAGGGAGAAGAAUCCAACAAUUUUAGAGAGUGCUAGUGGCCUAGGGACCGAGCAGCAGCAUGCUGCUUUUUGGAUAGAAUAACAGGCAGCAGCAGCCACGCAUGCCGGCAUGGGGCCUGAUCAACUGAUAAUGCCCUAUUGAUCAAGAAAGAAUAAGCUAGCUGCAAGCUGAUGGACUCUCGAUCCCUAAGGGUUUGUUUGGUUGCAUGCACCAUAUACCAUAUGAUGUAUGUAUGAAUGAUAUUGAAUGGUGAGGUUCAACUAAUGUGCUUGUACCAUAUGGCUCACUCUUAUUAGUAGAAUAAUGUAUUAGGUGGGAUGACUUCAUCCUAGAUGGGAUGGUAUAAUUAAAAAAAAGAAUCAUUAUUAUUUUGCACCAUUCCAUACAUAAACCAUACAGCCAAACAAACAUACUUAGUGUCGCAGUAGGUCCAUGGCCCCGAUGGCUAUAGGGACGGCUCGAGCAAGAGUCGUGAUCAGCCCAAGACAAAAUCGCGCAGCAAAUCUCUAGCCAAGGCCACACGCUUCACACUGCCUUUUUCUGGUAACGUCGUCAUUAGGCAUUAGCUUUUGUUGCUGCGCACCCCGAUCCCAUCGAGAGGCUGGUUCUGUGUGCACGUUCCUAGCUCCUAGGCAACAAAAGAAGCUUAGUGUGAUGCAAGGGGACGACGGAGAGGAUGAUAGCUUCGCUGCUGGACCCCACCACCGCCACGGCGGUUGAGCCGUCACGAGCUCACGACGUACGACGCCGCCUGGUGCUGACUUCCAGUUGCUCGGAAAUUCUCAGCUCUGGGCCGCCGCCGACCGCCGUCGUGGUUGGCCGGCCGGCAGGAAGAAAGCAGACCGGCCGGCAGAGCUAUCACCAACACCUUGGCACCUUGUCGAAAUGGGAGGUCGUACCAAAGGCAAUGGCGAUGGAGAAGGGAGAUGUUACCUGUCUCUAAAAGUGAGUUCGGCUCAUUUAGCGCUCUGCUCAUUAGUUUCUAUCUAGGGGCCGGCAGAUGGUAUCUCUCUCUCCCCCUCUCUAGAAAAAGAAAGUCUCUAGGAAAAGAAAAGUGGAGAAGAUACGCUACAAAAAGAUAAAAUCCUAGAAGUAAACUCUAGGUGUAAACAUCAACCGCCAUUCUAGGUGUAAACAUCAACCGCCAUUGUGGAUAUAAGGACCCUAUUUAUUUGAGAUUAUAAUCCAUUAGAUUAUUAGAUUAUGUGUAAAGGGUAGUAUAAUAAAAGAUCAUAUUGGGACCACAUUGGGAUUGCAAAUAAUCUGAAAUAAGCUAGUGGUCUGGCUUAUAUACUCCCUCCGUCCCACAAAGACUGUUCGUUUAGAAAAUUUUAGACAAGAUAGUAGCAAUGUUAAAAGUCCAAAGUACCCCUAAUAACUCUUCUUAAUCGGAUGGAUUAACGAGUAGAAUUAAUUAUACAUAUACGCUUGCAAUAAUUGUCGGACCUAUUAGCCUUCCUUGUUUAGCGAGUUUGGCUCGAGCAUCGAUAGUGGGAGUAAAUGAUCGAUUCGUUUAUUGAACCAGAAGGUAUUAUGAGGACCUUUGUUGGAUGGUCUGAAAGUUAUAUAAACACUCUUUGUGGAACAAGUUUUGGAAGCUAAACGAACAGUGUCUUUCGGGAUGGAGGGAGUAAUCUAGAAGGCAAACAAAUAGGCCCUUUCUAAAUUAACCACCUUUAUUUUCCGUUAUAAAAAUAUAACCCUCGAAAUAUGGAUCUAGAAUGCCUAUCUCUCUACCGCUAAUGAAUGGUAAUCUCAAGCAACCCCCAACACUUUGCCAUUGUGAAAGUCUCAAACGCAUCCGUCUCCAAAGCUAACUUCAGAUUCACCCAGAUUCAGACUGAUUCAGCAUGAAGAGCCCCUUGACAGUACUGCAACUUCCCGGCUACUGCUAUCAUCACAUCACCCUGCGAAUCUCUGAUGGCAUGGCCCAAAGCUCCCUCACCAGUCACCGCUACUCUUCUUGUGAAAAGCUCCAUCAGUAUUGGUUUUCAGGACAUCUACCGGUGGGCGCCUCCAACAAUAUCCUUUUGUCUCUGCGAUCUGACAGACAUUUGUUGGCCUUCUCCUAUUUUUCAGAAAUUCGUCAGUGUACUUCCACCAUGCAUUGCCACAUACUACUGCUGUAUGCAGGAGAAGGAGCAGAGGAUUGGUGGCGACUCCAAUCCCUUUCCUUCUAGAUCAAUUUCCUCCCAGAUCUUCAGUACCCAUUUACGUCUUGUUUGGAUCCGUCCAACUAGCUAAACUUCAGAAACUUUUUAAAAUUUAGCUAGGGGUAUUUGGAUCUACCAACUAAAUGAUAGUUAAAGAGCUAUUUGUCUAUUCUAGCCCCUCCCAAUUUAGAAACUUUUCCCAAGGAAGGUGGGGUAAUUUGGUUUUAACAGUUUAGCUAAGUUUAACCGGCUAAACUUUAGCUGAGUCCUGUUUAGAUCCAUAGCAGCUAAAUGUAGCCAGCUAAAAUUUAGCUGGUGGAUCCAAAUAGAGCCUUACACUUGAAAAAAAUGACAUUGUUAUUUAACGCAUGUUUUAUUUUUAAAAAAAUUACCGUGCGUUGCUACGGGCAGUAAAAUAUUUCAGUGCAAUAUGAAGAGCAUAGGAAAUAUGGUGUUGAUCUACUUAACGUGUUGUUUAAGGCUCAUUGAAAUCCACAAGCAUCAACAUUGGCGUAAUAGUGAUAAACCAAGCAUAAACAUAGUAUACAAAAAUAGUUAAUUCAAGUAAAAUUAUAAUCCAACACCAUGUCUCAGUUCAAGUUUAACACAACACUUGAAACUGAAUAUACAUUUGCUCUUUGCCUUAUGUCCAACUAUAGUAACGAUUCAAGCUCACUGAACCAAACGGCCUGAACAGACCCUAGAUAAACAACCAGUCCUGAAAAUACCAGGACAGUACCUUCCCCAAAGCCCAGUCAGCAGAAUCAAAGUAAGCUCUUUCAUGGUCCUCAUAUGAAACUUUAAACAUAGGUAAGAGGACAUGGACAUUAGAGACAAAAAUAAAUUAACUUCUCUUGUUAUGGUGAAUGCAUACCAUCUCUUUCAUUGUGAUCAAAAGCUUCUACUUUCUCAUCAGAUGUAACAGAAAUCUGACAUAAAUCUACUUUCUCAGGACAAAUACGGAAUUCAGACAUAAAUCUUGAUAUGAUGAACAAUAUCAGUGUAUAGGAUACAUACAGAUCACUACAUCCAAAUAAUAGACUAUUUAUGACUUAGAUAGGACCAAAGUUAUAAUUCUGAUAUGAAUAGCUUAAACUCCUCACUAAAUAUUUGACUACUCUUCCACCUGGAGCUUAACAGUAAAGACCGCGGUAAUAGUGAAAAUGGUGCAAAGUAUGAGGCUUAUGAAAUAUGGUGCUCCUUCCAACCUACAUGAGUCAUUCUAAUUCUAAAUUCACCCCAUAGUUAAAGUUGAGUGACAUAUAUUACCCAAAACAUGCAUACCAACGGACCUGCUUUGCUCCAAAAAAAAGAAGGAAAAACAGAUGUCAAAGAAAAGGAAAAAAAGAAAAAAAAUGACCAUAUUUGGAUGAGAGCGGGUGUCAGUGUCCAAAAGUCAUAAGCAUAUGAAGGGAACAUGAAGUGGUGGAAAUAGUCAAUUCAUAAAGAAAAAGAUUUGGCAUACCACUGAAUUAGUAUAAGUAAGAAAUUAUAGCAGCUGUUCCUGUAAGCACCAUUCAGCUAGACACAUGUUUCUGUAUCAGAAAAAACUUAAUACUUUUAACAGCUUUUUUAUCACCAUUGUGAUCACUCACACAUUUGGCAAGCCAUUCAUUUAGCGAUUUCACUAUCCUGCCUAUCAAGAACAGGUGUAUUUACAAAAAAGUAACUGCUGUGUCAAACAGAUUCGGGAUGUUCUACACCACCAGUUACUGCAUACAAACAGUCAAUACUGCAAUUCAAAAUUCCCAUAUAUAACAACUAAAUUCUAUGCUACAACUCUAUAGAGUUCACAAUUCAGUUCUGUAAUGAGGAGAAGCCAGAUUAGUCUGACCCUGUCAAAUUCUGAAAGAUCCAAAACCCACCAAUGCUAAGCAUGCUGAUCACCCUACAAAAUGGCCACACAUGUCAAACACUAAAAUAAGAUAUAUAGCUUUGGUUAUCACUGACCACAUCUUGACCAUUCCAUAGGCACAAUGAAAUGGAAAUAGUAAGAUCAAUUGAGAAAGUUUGCAUUCUACUAUGUACAACCUAACUAAAAAGCCAACACGGCAAACAAAGAAUCACCCAUGCAAACGGCACCCGAGCUAAUACAGUUGUUUGCUGUACUUUCAGUUUAUGAGCUGAAAACUAAUCUAAUGGACUACCACAAUUUGGCAAGCUUUCAGUCUAUGAGCAGCAAGAAAUAUAUAUAGCUCAAUUGAAAGAACAAUCGCUAAGCCAACAAUCAGCAAAGAGCUCACAAUCAUAUCUUAGCACUCUUGUCGUGCCAUUCGGCCAUAUGCAUUUUAAUACAUGUGGAAGCCAAUUUCACAAACAAGUAGUAAGUACCUCUGAAAAACAAUAUGCUCAUACUUUGCAUUGUAGCUUAUGUCAUCACACUGCAUGAAGUAAUCAGAUAAAGCCAUCAGUUUAUCAUACAUUCAUACAAGGGAUCAAUAUUGCAACACAAGAUGAAAACAAAAUAUUCAUGACAAUGUAGCACAGCUGGUUUGGAAUAUGUGCCCACCACGUUUUGUAAAAAAGACAUCUAGAAUUAAAUAUAGGCUCAUAAGGAAAUUUAACCCUUGUUCCCUAAAAUCAUCAGGGCGAUUUCCCCUCCCUGCGCCUGAGUUAUCAGCCGGCCCUUUAUCCCUAAAAUCUCUGAAGUCCCCUUCUUAAUUACGGAGAUAAUGGAAAAGGGAUAAAGGAUAAUAUAUUUGCCUUUGUAUUGAUGAGAUAAUGGGAAAGGGAUCAAAGCAUUGUCAUCUCAUACGUUCCCUGUUUUUUUGGGAACUUACAGCAUUUGCAAUAUGAAGCUGUAAUACACUAGGAUAGUAGGAUAAAAUGUGAUGCUUCACCAUAUAAUUCAGAAGAUAGUAAAAUAUUGUCCAAUGAUAAAGUAGGCCUCAUGUAGUGUACGAUAAAACAUCAGGGUAUUUUUAUCAAGCUAAUAUUCCCUACCAGAAUACAACCCACCUUCUCAGCUCCAUGCCGAUUGAAUUGGACAGAGAUCUAAUCAGGCUUCUAAGAUCUUAUGACAAUCGGGACCAAUAAAUUUCUUAUCAACUAAAAAUUAUAUUAGAAACCAAAUCAAAAGGCUUAGAAUACAAAUGCUUGCCACUUGCAGGAAGAUCAGAAGAAUCAUUUUGUUUUUCCAUUCUAACAAACUUUACUUCAUUGUGUAUAUGUAACCUAAUGCUAUUGAAGAGAGUAGCAGCAUCUUACUGCGGCAAGUAACUCAUGACCGAUUAGGGAAAAUAGGUUAACAACAUAAAGUGUGGUUCAUAUGAUGGGACAUUAUUAAUCUGAUUAGUACAGUUGAAGUGAGAAGGAAAUACUGAUAUAAGCUGCAAUAAGCAAGCUUACCUUGCUUUUGUGUGACAGAACGUUAACCUAAUAAUCUCUCACUUAAAAUAAAUUAAAAUGCCAAAUAGUACACAAAUAAUAGAAUGGGUUUUACAAUUCCAAAGCACAAACUAAUCUUACAAUUAUUCAGGAAAAGGAUCAAUAAGAAACAGCCUAGUGCAGGAAGCAAGAGAUAAAUUGGUCUUGCAAUAAAGAGGAAAGAAACCAACACACCCAUGUGGUGAACAUAAUAAUAUAAAAUAUAAAAAGAAAAUGCAGUAUAGUUAAGAGGAUGUAGAAAUGCCUAGAAGAAUUUGUUUGAACUUACCAUUGUCCAUGAAAUGAGGCAGUAUGUGCAGUCCACUAUUCAUGUAAAAAAGUUUAUGCGCUGAACAACCCUUCAGGUCAAAGGCGAACCAGAUUUUGUGCCCCUAAUUCGAGUAAGCAAAAUGAUAAAACAAGAAGGAAAGCAUCAAAUUUUCACCUGGAGCAGUGGAGCACGUAGUCUCCAACCAUUCUUUAAAACUCUCCUCCAUUCUGCUCACCUCCUUAAAAUCUAUAAAUUGAGGGAUGAGUUCCUUGGCCUCCGAUCCAUAUUCUUCAGGAGCAUGCAAAUCCCACUCUCUUCCUCACGGCUUUUUAAUAGAGCGGAAUGCAGUUUGGCCACCUACAUGAAGGGGAUUUAGACCAGCGGCUGCUCAGUUCCAAAUCGUGCGAAGAACAAGAUCUAAAAUCCAUGUGGAGUAACUGUAGCAGUGGUGGGACGGCUUCGCGAUGGUUGCAUCAGUGGUGGCGCGGCGGCCCUUACCAGCGCGGCGACGUUUCACGCAAGGUGAUGACCAAGGCACCAGAUGUCGUCGGCGCUCUCCUGGCCCUCCCCUUGCAGGAUGGUACCUUGGCCUGCACGAGCGUAGGCAAGCGCAGGUGCGGCGGUCGCCCUCACGCCCGUCCUCCGUGCCGGACUGGAGGAAAUCGGCUGCAGACGAAUGCGGGGGAGGUGCGGCGGAUCAGUUAAGCAUCAUGUGAAUUUCAAGACAGGAAUUUUGAUGGGUGAGGAGCACCUCGAUGGGGAUGGAUGGGCGACUAGAUUGGGGCGCCACCCCUCCCACUGUACAGGAUCCGCCGCCGGGAUGGAUCGGGGGGCACCGCCUCUCGCUGUCGAAGCGCCGCCACUCUUGACGGCGGCGGCGGCGCAGGUGUUGCGGCGGCGGUCGGUGUGGCAAAAUCCUGAACGACGGCAUCGGUGUUGCGGCGGCAGUGGUGUCGGUGUUGCGGCGACGGCGGCGGCGGUGCUAGAGGAUCUCACGGCGGCGGCGGCGGCGGUGUUUUGCAAUGGAGGCCGAUGGAGAUGCAGGACGGGGAACCCUGGACGGCGGCGGCGGCGUUGCUGCGAUGGGGAGGGAAACUGGACCAGGGAGUUGGAGGCGGAGAGAGUUGGCGGAGGGAGGGCGAUUGAUCGUAGGGCCAGUGCUGCGUCGGGGUCUCGUCGGGCCGAGGGACGGCUCGAAGCCAACCCCGAGGAUCGACGGCGGAACGCGGCGGGCGCGGACGCGGGCGCGUUUGCAGGCAACGGAGGGCCGCUAAUCGAUCGAGGCGGACCGAAUUUUUACUCGGUUUUGUUUUUUUAGCUGUAGAGAUUUAACACAUGUUUGUCAACAACACAAGCAGGCAAGCAGCAUAUCUCUCGCACUCGCUCACUGUCACAGUGGACCCACACACACACACACACACACACACCCUUACAGAUGGGCCACGGCCAGCAGCCCAGCACAUCACACGCGCUCAUGUCUUGGUUUAUGGGCUGAAACUUAAUUAGUAGGAGAUGUCGUCGUGGGCUGCAACUUUACGGGCUCGUCCAACUUCCUAGGCCCACAAUAGCCAACCACGAAUCCACGAUCCACUUGAAGGUAAAUUGUUCCUCUCAAAAAACAAAAAACUUGAAGGUAAAUUGUUUAGUUGUGACACAUGGAAAUCAAGCUGCAGCUUAUAAUUAAUUACUCCGUAACUGCGAGUUGUGAAAUCCUUCCAUGGCCGUUGUUCUUGGUGGUGAUCUGAGCCUGAGCUCCGUCCGGCGGCCGUCAAGCACGUCACCUCCUGGGCUUCCGGAGCAGCGCGGAGAUGUACCACUCGUCCAUCUCGACGCCCCGGUCGAGCUUCCGCCCGGCGUUCCACCGGAGCUUCUCGAACCCGAUCCGCUCAAACAUGGGCACGUACGUGGCGUCCAGCUGCGCCCCCAGGCCGAAGAAGUGGUCGAGCCAGAACACGCCGCCGGGCCGGAGCACCCGGAACACGUCGAAGAGCGCGAGCUCCAGCACCGCGUCGGGGAUCCAGCCGCUGAGCACGUGCAUCGAGUGCACCAGGUCCAGCGCCCCGUCCGGGAACGGCAGCCGCGCCGCCACGCUCAGGUGCAUCGCCACCAGCCCCCGCGACGCGAUGAAGCCGCAGAACGGCCCGUCGAAGUUCAUCGACGUCGUCACCACCGUCACGCCGCGCUCACGCAUCCGCGCCGCGAAGGUGCCCGUCCCGCCGCCGAUGUCCAGCCCGAUCCGCGCCGUGCCUUUUGGAAACGUGGCGAGCACGCCGUCGAUGGUGUAGUCGAGCGAGUUCUUCUCCCGGUCGUCGUCGUCGUCGUUGUUGCCGGCGCGGCGCAUCCAGCGGUCCUUCUCCCGGCCGCGGAGGUCGAAGCAGUCCUUGCAGUCGUAGCUGCCGCCCUUGGCCUUCCCGCGGUUCACGAGGCAGGAGUAGUUCUUGCAGGUGUACGCGUCCCAGACGACGCUGGUGUCGGGCGGGAUCGCCCACAGGCUCGCCGGCAGCGGCGCCGGCUCCACGUACCCGGCGGGGGUGCGCGGCCGGCACCGGCGGCGCGGCAGCGGCUCGCACCCCUUGAGCAUCAGCCGCUGCGCGAACGCCUCGUCGGAGGGGCACUCCCCGCCGGCGGUGUAGUUCAUGUACCGCUCCAGGUCGCCGCGGUGCCGGUGGCACGCCUGCCCCACCGCCGGGAACAUCACCUCACCGCCGGCGCCGGGCCGCCUGUGCGGGCCGACCGCCCACCGAAGCUCACCACCGGCGGGGAGGUCCCGCUCCCGCCGCCACAGCCCGCCGUUGGCCGCCGCCGCCUGCCGCUGCUCCUCCCGGGCGGCCUCCAUGUCGCGCUUGGCGGCCGAGCCGCCGCCCAGGAUGGCCUCGAGCUGCUUGUUGGCCGCGGUCAGGCGGUUCGACAGGUCCACCACCUCGGCGUGGCUGGCCGCGAGCGCCAGGCCGGUGACGUUGAGCUCGCGGAGCAGCUUGGACGAGCCCCACGCGUGGACGGCCGCCGGGUAGCGCCUGCCGACGUGGGCGUGGAGCGCCGCGCCGGCGCCGGAGAAGACGAGGAUGGACGCCGCGUUCGUCAGGAACAGGAGCACCACCACGGCCCUCGACCUCCUCUGCUGCUGCUGCUGAUGAUGCUGGUCUGGUCUGGGCUUCUUGCCAAUGUCGUAGUCCAUGCUCCCCAUGAUGCAACAGCAGCAAUGUAUGAACCCUUUUUUUGCUGGAUACGGCGACAAGUUUGAUGCCAUGGCGCGUGGUGUUUAUAGAUGUGUGGAUUUGGCAAGUGUAGGUGACGACCAAGGGAGGAACAAUUGGAGGAGAGGUUUCCAGACUUGCGGCCUGUUCGGCUGGACUUAUAAGCCAGCUGAAAAGUUGAAACGUCUAAUUUAUUGUGAGAGAAAAAUAUUGUUUGGAUGCUUGAGGAGUGAACAAAGCAGAGAUGGUGCCUGCGGCCCUGUGGGUGUGUAUUCAUUUGCAACAUGGAGUGGUGGUCAACACGUACACCUUGCCAUCUCGGCACGCCUCGCAGCACUCUGUUGUGAUGUGUGAGGGUAGGACUGAAGAUGACAGGCCACGGUGGUGCCACGAUGGUUUGCUUCGCCAUGAAAAUGAAGAGCCUGUGUGCAUCAUACACACCAAGCUAGUCAAACUCUUGGAAGAGCUCGAAGCAAUUGCAGAGCCCUCCUUUGUCCCCUGCCUGCUUUCGAGCGAGGGAAGGCACGGGCCACCGGGGGGCCAGCUGCAGGUAUAUUCCCAACCCAAUUUAGCACUCGUUACAAAAAAAAAAAAAAGGUCUACAAGAACUGAAGAUGCAGUCAGCAACUCGGAACCAUAUGCAUUUGUUAUCAACAUUGUGCAUCAGAGGAAUCUUGACCUGGCAAAGCUAGCCAGCCAUAUCACAAGCCUAAGCUCAUGCCUAUCAGCUCACCCUAAAACCUCUGAUAAUAAAAAGCAGAAAGAGCAAGACAAAACAAUACAACAAUUCCCUCCUUGUUUACUUCCCUCCAAACUCCCAACUUUGACACUAUGUAAAAAGAAGAUUCCCCAUCACAUUAAACUUGCGGUACAUGCAUGGAAUACUAAAUGUAGACGAAAUCAAAAACUAAUUGCACAAUUUUGUGUACUUUGCGAGGCGAAUCUUUUGAGCCUAAUUAGUCAAUAUUUGGACAAUAAUUCACAAAUACAAACGAAACGUUAUAGUGUCGCAUUUAUGGCAAAAUGCCAAUUUUGCAACUCCCAACUUGGGAAGUAAACAAGGCCUCCGUAGGUUUAAUCCAACGACAUUAUAGCAACAGGAUCAUUUUGAUGUAAGACUGCAAAAAGUGCCCAUGAGGCCUGCAAUCUAAGGUACAGCCUACAGCGACUGCUGCAUGUCCCUGUUGCAGUAACCUGUGGACUGUCGCACUCAGUCUAAACACACUUGCAGAGCUAUGUAUGAUUCACUAUGACAUUGACAAAUGAAAAUCAAAGUCAUGCAUUCGCUUGCGACGGGGAUUGCUUGGGAACCCCCCUACUGCAAGCAGCACCUUUUAGCAAAUGGCUCACAACCUUCAACUAUCAUGAUUCCUACCUAAGAAAGUAAUCCACCUAUCAUGCCUAUAGAUCAAUAAACCAAUAUAGUUCCAAUCACAAUUUCCCCCCUCCCUCUAGGCUCUUCGCAGGCAAGCCAUUCUAAAUCUGGUAAGAGCACAGCAGUGAGGAAUUCAGAUAGCCAGCUUCACUGGCAUUGUCUAUUGUUGAAAAUUCAUAUUAUAACAACCAUCUCAUAUGUACAGACAGAUCGACUGGAGAAGGGGAAUCUGUACACAUCCAUCCCAGGUUAAAACUUCUCCCCCAACAGUAAAAAGAAUUUCCACCAACUGUCAAAGACGAAAAUAGCCAAAACCCCUAUUGCUAAUAUUACCUCCAACCUUGUAUGUAAACAGUAAAGCAAUCAUCUUAUCUUGUAAGCCCAACCAUGCUCGCUCAAAAAUGCAUGUACAGCUUCCUUGAUGGCAAGAUUCGGAACUAGCUGGUGUGGUUCAAGCGCCUCACGGGUCAAAGGGUCAAACUUCCCCACCUACAAAUUAGGAGAGUUCAUAAUUUUGACACAUAAAACACUAGUGUACUGUGAGAAAUUGUUGAUGUUCGUGUCAGUUACCGUUUGAAGAUGGUCAAGAAGUACAGCCCUCUCAUAAGUAACUCCACUUGGGGUGAUCACUGGGUCUCUGAAGGUAUCAAGUGUAAUUUUGCAGCAGAGAUGAUCAGGAACCUGAAAAUAAAUAAAUUGAAUGAUUAGACCAGUCAAGGCAACCAAGUAAACGUCAUCUCAGGCAGGUUAGUACUUCUGCUGGAGUAUCAGCCUUUGCAGCUUUCUUGAAAACUUCCUCUAGCUCAUUUAGCUGUUCUUCAGGUUCAUCUGCAGCUGGAUUACCAAGGCUAUUGUAAUUCCUAAGAGCUUGUUUGCAUUCUACCCUGUAAAACGAUGAACAGAUACAUUAGGGUACUAGAGUACACCCCUGUGAUACUAAUUGAACAACACAGAAAAUCUUCACUUACUUCAGCUUCUGCAAUUGAAAGGCUCGCUCUCUUGAUAAGCCUUCCCAUUCGAUGUAUUUUGCUUUAGAAAGCUCUUGCCAAAUCUCUUCAACCAUGUAGCUUGCAGGAUGUGCACCCCUUCCUAGCUCCAAGGACUAGUUUUGAAAAUGUUUGGUUCAUCAGUAAAAACAGAAUAAAGAGAAUUUGAAUUCUAACUGAAAUAACAUAAUCAUCUGAAGAAAACUGGAUUAAAUGAGACAUUCAUAAUUAUGGUUUUCCUGUUCCUGUAGUUGUUGCACUAAUUCUUGAUUCUGGUUAAGAUCAGAGUUUUCAUCUUUAUCAGAUCAAGAGAACUAGGACAGGGCAUCUUGAUAUUAAUAUUUUGUUAAGAAUGGUUUGCCAAUCCUGUGCUUAUACGACUUAUAUUGUACAUGACAGGAUGGAACAGGAACAAAAGCCAGCACGUUCCCCACAAAAAAAAGAAGGAAUAAAGGCCAGCUUAAGGCGAAGUUGGACCAUGACCCCACAAGUAGAACAAUAUUUUAUUUAUACGUAGUUGAGGUAACUGAGGGAGGUCAUCAACUUAGUAAAGGAAUAGAAGUGGUCAGCUUAAGAUUAAUGAUUGGUAAAAAUGGAUUGUGCUAGUAAAUGAGCAAAAUAAUACAAGCACACCCUAGGGCAGGAGGGAGUGAGAGAGAUACCUUCUCCAGUGCUUUUAUUCCUUCAGACAAUCUUUGGCUGUUGACAAGUGCUAGGCCCAGCAUGUAAUGUCCCUGCCAACAAAGUAAAUAAGUUAUCAUCUAAAGAAAAGAGACUAGGAGAUGAGUAUAAAUAUGAUGUUUUCCUCAUCCAUUAAAAAAAACAACUACAGUGAGUGCUUAAUGUGAGUGUGUUCCCCUGACUUUAGUUACCCCCACAGUGCCACCGCAACGUCAACAGUGAAUUAAAGACCAAUGUCAAAAUGGUUACACACAGUGAGUUCAGUACUCAGAUUGACCGAAGUUAACAGACAAGUAACAAACAUAUUCUAUAGUGUUUGACUUCGCUUCUGUUCCUUCUCUUAACUCCAGAAUAGUGGAUCCCAAGACUUAGGGGGUGUUUGGAUACCCCAUACUAAAGUUUAGCACCCGUCACAUCGGAUGUUUGGAUGCUAAUUAGAAGUAUUAAAUAUAGGCUAAUUACAAAACUAAUUGCACAAAUGGAGUCUAAUUCACGAGACGAAUCUAUUAAGCCUAAUUAGUCCAUGAUUUGACAAUGGGGUGCUACACUAACCAUUUGCUAAUGAUGGAUUAAUUAGGCUUAAUAGAUUCGUCUCGCGAAUUAGCAUAGGGUUUUGCAAUUAAUUUUAUAAUUAGCUCAUGUUUAGUCCUUCUAAUUAGCAUCCGAAUAUCUGAUGUGACACUGCUAAAGUUUAGCACCUAGUAUCCAAACACCCCCUUAAUUACAAACAUAUCUUACAUGCUCUAUUGCAAAUCAAAGUGUAUAUGUUUGAAGCAUAUCUUACUGACUCAUAGAGCAAGUCAGGAUCAUUCUGCUAAAGUCAGAAUUCUAGCCCCCAUUUUUUGCAACAACUUCAAAAAAUAACAAAGGACUUUCUACCUAUUGGAAAAUCAGACUUAUGGAAAAUUCAAUUCAAGUGGAACGAGGCAAACAGAAACAAGCUCAGCAACUGGAUUAAUCUAGUACACCCUGUUUGCAAGCGGACCUUCCAUCUGAGAGACAACAACAGGUGCCUCAGCUUGUUCAUGUGGAAUCAAGUCCAGUUUCACGUUGUGCUAAGCCACAUAAUCCAGCUGGCAAGUACAAUCUUCCCAAUUCUAUUAAAGUAAUUUCAUUGGCUCUGAAGUAGAGACAUUUAGAUAUCUUUAGGCAUAGAGUGUGUCAAGAAGUGGAAGUAAACAGAUCCUUUUUAAAAAGCAGCUCAUCUCCACAGUACCAAAUGAAGCCUAACUCAACUAGCAUGUUGAUGUGUGCAGAAGGUGAAAUACUAACAUGAAUACUAAAUCUGUUACAUAUUUGGUCAAGAAAAAAAAGUGAUGGGGAAUGAAAUGUGUUUCCAAAUGAGAAAACGAUGUCCUUAUAAUGCACAGUACAUUUCUCAAUAAUCAGCAUGCCCACAUAGUCAGCACUGAACAAAACACACAAAAAAUAGUUAAAGACAGAUCAAGUCAUCACCUUAACAGAUUGGCUGUCAAGCUGGAUAGCCGUUCUACAGUCUUCCUCAACCUUGGCCCACUCACUGGCAAAUUCAAUAGGAACACAGUAUGGUGUAAACACUUUGAUUGCACAUUAAAAUUGAUAAGUAAAAUGCAACAACCAAAAAGGACUAGCAAUUUUACAGACUUCCGCUUCUUAUAGCAAAGUGCCCGGUUGGUCCAAUAUACUGCAACAUUUGGGCAGAGAGUGAUGGCCUGUCAACCAAAAUAGACAAUGAAGUUAGCAAAGGACGUGCAAGAUAUAAAGAGAUUUAACUAGAACUGCCAUCAUUUUUACUAACAUAUAGUUUAUCAUAGAUUCAUACACGCUUUCACUACAACUGCCAUCAUUUUAAAAAGGCCAAACAAGUGGGACUAUCAAGGUGGACAGGUAAGCUUUAGUCUUGGGUCCCGUUUGACACAGCUCUAGCUCUUAGCUCCAAGUCAGAUUUAGAGUUUAUAAACUAAAAUAAAGUAGUAUACAAAUCUAUUUCUGUCGGAAUUGAAUCAAAAGGAUUCACAUAAACAGUCCCAAUGUAGCCCCAGCUCCAGUUCCAUGAGAACUUGGACAUAGGAAUACCCAGCUCCAAGCUGGAGCUGUGCCAAACAGUCCUUUACUUGAAUGGCUAAAACCAAAUCAUUCAAUGUUCCGUUCAUUAAUAUAAAAUUAAUAUUUAAUAAUCCUGUGAUUCACAAGCAUAACAAUUCUAGAGGCUUCUGAUGUUUGUACAACCUGGUAUAUGAUUGGAACAUUUUCCUGCCCACUCUCCAUCAAUUCUUUCACUCCCCAACCAAUUUCCAUGACUAGCACUAGAUGUCUAGCAAAUUACAAAUACAAGCAACAGCCCAUUAGCAUUGUAUAGCCCCACAAGGCCACAAUACCUUGAAAGGUAAAAUGCUUUUCAACUUGCAUUGUGCUGCAGAGACUCUUGACUAGAUAGCAGACAUCUAGUAUGUUUUAAAUAAAUGGACUACUCCAGAUAGCAAGAAGCAAUACGUGUAAUCAGUAAUCAAACCGCUCAACUGCCCAGUGCAAACAAGCUUACAACAAUUGGUUAACUCGAAACUAGUACCACAAGAUAUCACGUUAACCAUCCUGACCAGCAAUGUCAACACCACAAAUCAACUUAUCUAGCCAUGGUUACUAGUAGUACUGGAAGCAAUUUCAGAGAAUUUAGUAAAAAAUCAGACAAUUCAGCAAACAUCCAGAGAAUUUAUCAGCGUCACGUUACAAACGCACAGCAGGCCUUCGCGGAAUGCACUAGCAUCACUGUCUCACUGAUACAUCGCUGCACAGCGCAUCGAUUGAACAGGAGAAAACAAAAACCGACGCCUAACAAAUGGAAACGGCAAGCGUAACCGGCGAAUCAGGCGGCACAAUCCGGCGCCGGAAAGCUCGCCCCGGCGGUAGCGGGUCGCGGCGGGCCACGCUUACCCCUGUGUAGGCGUCGAUGGCGGCGCUGAGGCGUUCCUUCCUGAAUAAGGCGUUGCCCUCCUGCUUGAGCCGGUCCGCCUGCCGCUGCGACUCCGCCCCGCUGUCCGCCGGCGCCGGCGCCAUCUCCGGCGGCCCGCACUCGCCUCGCGCUCGUGAGAGGAAGGGGGUGGGCGGGGAGGAGGCGCGAUUUGCUCGUGUGGGAUCGUGGCGUGCGCCUGGCGGCUUCGUUUUUUGGUGGGGAGUGGUGGAAUGGAAGGGAAGAACAAUUGCAAGGGACCCGAGGCGAGGGAGGCGAGGGCCGGGUGGGUGGGGGGACGCGGGGAUGGGUGAUUUUUUGCGAUGGGGUCCCUGGAUUUGACUAUGUGAGGGCUUAAUAGCGAAAAGUAAAUAAGAGACGUGUACGUGCUGAGAGUCUGAGACGUAUGGUAAGUGGUUGAAGGGCUUGAUCACAAAAACCAUCCAUAGCAUGCAAUUCAAUUUGACUACUAUCUAGAAAUAUACAAGUUUCUACAUGGAAUUCACAGCUUAUAGAUGAUGAAACCAACAAGAAAGACAAGUGAGAUGACAUAAAAGGAUUUUGAUGUGAAGUGUACAGGUAGCUUGUAAGCUUGUAUCAUGUAUUGAUGCGUGCAAUUAUCUUUUACUUAUUUGUCAAAAGUUUAACCCCAAUAUACUAAAAUUGCAUACUCGUUGUUCGCAAUUUGAAAUAGUCAUAUUUCAUAGAGUCAUCAUGUGUGGAAGUCUAUUAGAUUGAUAUUUUACCACUGUUGCUUUGCUAUAUUUAUUGAUCAUAUUUCUUUAAUUAUAAUAAACAUCACAUCACUUGUUAUCUUGCAUCAUUUGCUUAGUUGCUUUGAUCAGAGGAUCCAAUUGUUUGCUCUAUUAUUUUUAUCCAUCCUCAAUUCCUUAUUGUACAGGUUACAAAGGGAUUGUCACUACAAUUCAAAUGAUGCAUUCACCUCAUUCAUGUUAAAAUAGCCUACCAGUUUAGUUAAUUUUGACAAAGAAGAUGUAAAGAUAUAUGUAUCCUUUCAAGAACAUUUAAAUUAAACCACCCUUUAUGUAACUAUAUUUUUGUAACAGUAACUACAGUUUUGAUACCGACAUGCUGUAAUUCAAAUCGCAAUUCCAAAUAAACCAGCCAUAUCAAAUUCCACGAAGCACAAGGUGCUUUCGGGACAAAACACAAUCUGUGAAUCGCCAAUUCGCCAUUGCCCGCAAGGCCGCAACGCAUAGGGGAGAACGGAAUCGACCCCUCUCCAGUCUCCACCCGAGCUUGCACAGCAGCGCACGCGGGGAGAGACAUGGCGACGGAAGAGGAGGUGCCGGAGGCGGAGGCGGCGGCGGCGGUGGCGCCCGCGCCAGCUGGUGGAGGCGGGGACGACGCGGAGAUGCCCGACGCCGCCGCGCCCUCGGGCUCCGACUCGGACUCGUCGGACUCCGACGACGAGGGGGCGGGCGGCGUCGACGAGCUCCGCAUCCAGGCCCUAGAGCGGACACUCCAGGAGCAGCCUCUCGACUACGAGACCCACGUGCAGGUACCCUUCGCGCUCCCCAUUCCCCCGCUGCCACGGCUCGCUAGGGUUUUGAGUGGGUUUAGUCGUGGUGUUGGUUCGCGCAUUUGAUGGAAGCUAGUACACUACUAGGGUUGGAAUUAGUGCGUGCCUUUACGCAUUUGAUCCCUUUUGUUAGGCUAGAUAUGCUCAUUAGGCUGUCAAUUUUGGUGCGUGUCAGCUGCAAUGCAGAAAUGGAUUGUUAUUUUUUUCAACAGGUUUAUUACUUCGGUCCUAGAGUAAUUGGGGUUGCUUCCUCAUGUAGAUAGUAGUCAUUCUUAUGCUGCCUUAGAUGGGUGGUCACUGUUAUUUGACAGACUUCCCAUACUAUUUGGUAUUAGCCUGAAUGUUUUGCGUCUGUUGUUGCAGUAUAUCCAGUGUUUGAGGAAGUCAGGCAACAUUGAGAAGCUUCGCGCGGCAAGGGAAGAGAUGAACAAGUACUUCCCUCUUACCCCGAAGAUGUGGCAGGAGUGGGCGAAGGAUGAAAUCUCACUGAGCAUGAGGUUUGUGAUUGUUUUCUCCUUCUUAUGCCUUCCUGAAUUUAUUCGUGUCAUGUGCUGCCUUCCUGAAGUAUUCACGUCGUGCAGUCUGCACUUCAGAUUCAUGGAAAACUGAGUUUCAUUCUGUGGUUUUGUUUGUCUGUCUUGGUUGUUUUGUCACAGUGAGGAAUCUUUCGCUGAUAUUGAAAAGCUAUAUGAGCGUGGGGUGCAAGAAUACCUGGUAUGUUGAAUUGUUCUUAUGAUAUUGUAUUUAAACUAUUGAGCUUGAGCAUCUGGUUGUGGAGUGCUAACUUACUGUGGUGAUCAUUACACUGCAGUCCAUUAAGUUAUGGCGGGAUUACCUUGACUAUGUCGAAGAGCAUGAUCCAUCAGUGUCUCAAUGUACAACGUCUGGCCUCUCCAAGAUGAGAGAUUUGUUCGAGCGAGCCAUCACUGCAGGGGGGCUGCAUGUUACUGAGGGCAGCAAACUGUGGGCAGCUUAUAGAGAAUACGAGAUGGCAAUUUUGAUCACCAUCAGUGAUGACAAUGAUGAGGAAAGGGCAAAGCAAGUUCAGCGUAUACGCAUGCUAUUCCACCGCCAGUUAUCUGUUCCUUUGGCUGAGAUGGAAUCUACACUUUCUGAGUAUAAGAUCUGGGAAGCCGAGCAAGGGAAUGAAAAUGAUCCAGGUUCCAAUUUUGAUGGUGUCCCCUCAAAUGUCGUAUCUGCUUACAAAAAGGCCAAUGAUAUGUACAAUGAAAGGAAGCAAUAUGAGGAUCAACUAAGCAAUGCAGGCGCAUCUGAAGCUGACAAACUGCAGGAGUUUCUGGUAUGCUUAACAUAAUUUAUGACCUUACAAUGCUGAACUUAAAUCUUGUUUAAAUUCAUCCUUCUAGGGCUAGGCUUGUACUAUUUACUUGAGAAUUGAGAUGCACUCCUAUUAUUGUGUCAACGUUUAGGAUAUUUUUCAUAUUAGGCCUAUCUGUGACUCUGAGCUGCUCUCCUGCUUCAAGUUUGUGGUGAAAAUUUACAUCUUUGUUGAAAAGCUCUUUGUUUGAUUUCUCUCUUUUUUUACACAAUUUCUCUCCUUUUGGUUGGUUUAACUGAAAGUUAUAGAAUUACAGUUCCAUUUGAUGACCUUGCCAGAAAAAAAACAUUUUGUUCGUCAGUUCUGUCCUUUGAAUUCCUGUUUCUGUAUUCCAGCAUUUUUAUCUGUGGCUCUGCUCAGUUAGUACUCCGUAACUUUUAAAGGAAAAUCUUACUCCCUCUGUUUGAAAAUGUAGGUCGUUUUGGCUUUUCUUGAUACAUAGAUAUUGCUAUGCACCUAAAUAUAGUGUUAUGUCUAGAUACAUAGCAGAAAAGCCAAAAUGACCUACAUUUUGGAACAGAGGGAGUAUUUGGAAACCAAAACAGAAUCUAUAUGUUCCCGUUAUAUUCUGUAUAUCACAAUGUGAGUUCAUAGGUUGUUUGCCACCUUUCAGUCUUCCCAAGCUUAUGUUUCAUGUGAUGCUUAUUCUUUCUUUUCCAACAAAAGGGGUGCCAUCUCACCAUAUCCAUUACCUUUUACUGACAAUAUUCUUGUUCUUUGCUAACUCAAUGUCACUUAUUUGUAUAUGAAACAGAAAUAUCUCAAAUUUGAAGAAUCGUCUGGUGACCCUGCUCGUGUUCAAGUUCUGUACGAACGAGCUGUUUCAGAGCUGCCUGUUUCAACCGAUGUAUGGAUAGGAUACACGAGCUACCUGGAUAGAACCUUGAAGGUCCUUUUAGAAACUUGUUUGGCAAUACAUGUCGAUUCAAUCGUGAUAUUCUCUCUUUAAUAUCAAGAGAUGCCUUUUUUCUCUGCAGGUGCCUUCUGUACUAAGAAGUGUUUAUCACAGAGCCACAAGAAACUGUACAUGGGUUGGUGAGCUAUGGGUCCAUUAUCUCUUGUCUUUGGAGCGGGUUCGUGCUUCUGAAGAAGAACUACGCAAUGUAAGUUUCUUACUUCUCUCUUUUGACAUGUAGUUGGAGAUUUUGCAUAUUAGAUUCUGUAGAUCUUCUAUGUAUGCGAAGUAGAUGGCAAUGUUAGGUCUGGCACCAUGGUUCCUUAAGAUAAGCUGAUUAUAAUCCUGUAUAGUUUCUGUUCACCUUCUUAGCAGCUAACUGCACGGCAUGGUGGCACAUGCAACAGUAUGAAUUGUAUGUAGUUAAAUAUUUGCAUGUUUAUUAGCUAGCUGUAGAUGUGUGUUACUGUUAUGUAUUGGAAGUCCUGUUAUACGUUGACGGAGAGCAUAAUGUCAUUGAUAUAAUUCUCUUCUCAUUCGACUAUCUACUAUCUGUUUCAAAAUAUCCUAAAGCAUCCUGGUAAGCAGCCAACUGAGCACAUUCUGAUAAAACUGAAUAUCAUGAGUGUCUAAUGUGUCCACUGCAUUUCUUUUUGCCAUUUGCCUUACUUUUUUGGUAGUUUUGGAAGAUUGUUAUUAAGCUUCGCCUGUUUCUUUUAUGUAUAUUGGGAGCUAAAGAUAUAUAUGUGCUUGUACAUUUCAGGUAUUUGAACGGGCAGUACAGUGUUCUUUUCCAACCAUACAAGAGGUUAGAAUGAAUCAUGUUGUUUUAGUUUGGUUACUUUCUGGGUAAAAACCAGAGCAUCCAUUUUAAGAAUUUUUUCUGGUCAAUUCUUGUUAACUGUUCUGGUGGGAUGCAGAUUCUCAUUUAGUUUUUAUUUGGAUGGCUGAACUGCUGCAGUAUCUCAAUAUUUAUCUCACUCGAGUUCAUAGUCUAAGACGGAGGAUUUCAGAUGGGUUGGAUUUCCAGCUGAUCAGGCAGACAUUCAAGGUACAUCUUCUCUAUCACCUCACCAUUUACGUGCAUUUUCUUAAUUUUACUAUAAUUAAUGGGAUAUAAUAUCAGAAUGCUGCAGAAUUUCUCUCACCUCAACUGGGAACCAAGGAGUUACUGCACUUGAAUGCUUAUUGGGCCAAAUUAGAGCGCAGUCUUGGCAAAGAUCUUUCUGCAGCUCGUGUCGUUUGGGAAAACGCUAUCAAAAAAAGGUUUAGUUUUUUGCUUUAUGCAAAUUCAUAAAUGUUUCUUUUUACUGGCUACGUGCGGACCCUUAAAUCUGUCACUAUUUUUCCAGUGGCUCUGUUUUGGAAGUUUGGCAGCAGUACAUUUCAAUGGAGGUAGAAAUGGGACAUAUACAUGAGGCGAGAUCGCUUUAUAAGCGCUGUUAUAGCAAAAGAUUUGCUGGGUCUGGAUCAGAGGUAAGCUCUUCUCAAACAAGCAUCCGAACAUCUCUUUCUUCCUGCUAUCAUGACCUGCAAAGUUGCAAACUUGCUGAUGUACUCUUGUUGCUGCCUGUGAGCCAGAGUCUUAAAUACUAGCUUAAUCAGUUAAUUGCCUCAGUUUAUUUUUGUGAAUACCAUCAUUGUUAGUAUUUUGAUAUGAUAAAUCUCAUGAAUACUGAUGAUUUAAUUUUCAACGUUAUGAUCUUAAACUUACUAGGACAUAUGUCAUGCAUGGAUAAGAUUUGAAGAGGAGCAUGGCACCUUGGAUGAUUAUGACCUUGCUGUAAAAAAGGUAUGCUGCUGGCUGCUAGAUGUUUUUCUAUUUCACCUGUUCAUUAGGCUUUCUGCUGAGUGUGAAUUGGAAUUAUUUUUUCUGGGGAACAAAAAAAUUGGUUUGACGUCCACUUCUUGCUCCUUCAGCAUUAUCUUUGUGUAUGUGAGUGAAUGCUCCUUCAGUUGGUCAUACUCCAUAAAAAAGAGCAACUGAUAAUAUCUGCCAAACCAAUCUAUUCAUUAAUAACCAAGAGUAUACCAUAAGUUUCUGAAGAUUCCUGGUUACUUCUACAUAAAGUUGAUAACUCAUGAAAGCUUUUGACAUUGUUCGUAUUUUAAUGUGAUUAAAUCCUCUGUGCAAUCAUCAGAUGUUGACGCCUUGCGUGUUAUUUAAUAUUUCAGGGGUUAAAGUGUUAGACAUGCUGAGUUGAUAUCUAUUCAACUGUAUACGGUGUUUCUAUCUGAACUGUAUGAGCUAGGUGAUAGCAUGGGUUCCCGAUUUAUCAUAUUAACUACAGUUUUGAACUUGUUCUCCUCCCAUUUGACCAGGUCACCCCUCGGCUAAAGGAGCUUAUGGUGUUCAAGUCUCAAGAGGAGGCUAAAGUCGAGGCUUACUCUAUGCUCAAUGAUAAUUCUAAUGCAGAUGACUCUUCUCAGAAAAGAAAAGCAAGUAAAAUGACCAAUAAACAGCAGCCCCCUGCUAAGAAAAGGAAAGAGAAUCCACCAAAAAGUGUCAAGUCAUCAGACGACCAAGAAAAGACCCAAAGUGGACAUAGUGGUGCUGUUACUGCUGUAGAGGUUGGAGAGGCAUCCACAGAAAUGAAAGUGGACAGCAACUGCCGAACAGGGAAUACAGGUUCAAAUGAACCAAAACCAUCCUUCUACAAUGACAAGUGCACAGUAUUUGUCUCAAAUAUAGACUUGAAGGUAUGUCAUUUUUCAUUUUUUUUGAUGCAUGUAGCUCCUGAAAUUUAAUUAACCAACUCGUUACCCUCUCUCUGUAGGCAACUGAGGAUGACCUUCGCCGGUUCUUCUCUGACAUUGGUGGUGCCACAGCAAUAAGAUUGCUGAAGGACAAAUUCACCAAAAAGUCAAGGGUAUGUGUUACACUUAUUCUUAUAAUAAUGUUUUUGUCUCUUGGGUUCCAUAGUGUAAAUAAUAGCUUGUUUGUUGAAUUCUGUACAUAGCAUCAUUACACUAUAAAAUAAGGCAUUAGUAGAUUAUGCUUGCUCCUGGAUUAGUUCACUAGAUGUUCUUGUAGUUUUUAUUUCUUAGGCUGAAACUACAAUGUUAGGUUGAAGAGGCACGCAUGACAUCUCAAAGUGCAUAUUUGAAUGCACGUGACGCCACACUCUGCCCAAAAACUACUCCUAUGACCUAUCCUUCUCCAGCUUCAUGAUUCCCCACUACUACAAUGUCCAGCCUCCUGACGAGCCACCCAGGCAGAGCCCCUUUCCUGCCAAUGAUGAGUAAGGCAUGGGGCUGUGCUCACUAAGAAAUACACUAGAUGCUCCAGUAGUUCCUUGAUACAAAGUGCAAACUGAGUUUGCCACUAAGUAUACGUGUAUUCAUGGAAAUUAGUGACUCUAGUGGACUUUUAUGUUUUCGCUAUUUUGGCACUGUAUUUCCCAAACGUUUGAUACUAUUGGAGUGUUAGGAAGAAAUGUUUUUCUUCAAAUAGUCGUCGGGCUCAGAACAUAUGCAAACUAAAGUGCCAUCAUCCUGUUGCUUUUGGCAUUAUGCAAAUUGGUAUUAUGUUCAGAGAAUAUUUGUCUCUGUGUUUUAAGAUAAUUACUACAGAAUUUGGAUUUCAUUUUUCAUUGAUUUGUUUUUCCUUAAUAUUUUUGCAGGGGUUGGCCUAUGUGGACUUUUCAGACAACAAGCAUCUUGAGGCAGCCCUUCAGAAAAACAAGCAUAGGUUGCUUGGAAAGAAAGUGAGUAUCGCUCGAUCAGAUCCAAGCAGGAGUAAGAAGAGCCGUGAGGCAGGUCCUUCCUCCAAAGGCUACGGUAUGUUCUUUGACCAGUUGACGACAUUUUCUUUUUGACUGUUGUCCUAUUUGAAAAUUGCAUCAACAGAUCAACCUAAAGCUAUACCGAUAAGGGCAAGAAUUUUAGAACCCCAUAUUGCACUUGGAUAGUGGAGACUGGCACUCGCUUAUUAUCACAUUCAACACCUGGUCUUUUCUGUUUUGGACCAAAACUAGUUUAUAAGAUUUUGGGUGGAAACCACGAGUCAAGUGGAAUCUUGGAAGCUACACUGUAAAGUAUAUGCUGAAGUUUUGAAAAAAAAACUCAAAAAACAAAAGUCAACCACACAGUUUCAGAUUAAACUGCACACAUGCUUUUUUUUAGUAGAUCUUCUGUACAUGUGCAUAAGACUAGAACUAGAGAUCUGCAUCACUUUUGCAUGUUAAUCGUGACUGAUGUUAUGGGGUACAUCUACAUAGCACCUAUCUGAUUUUUGCAAAUUAUCUUCUUUCUGCAGAUAACUUGCCUCAGAGUGGUGAUGAUGGUGCAAAAGCACCUGGAUCCAGUAGACCAGAAAAAGAAGUACCCAAAGGUGAUGUGAAAAUCACAGGGAAGAACACUGCUUUUGCACCACGAUCUGUGGUUAAACCUCUUGGGUGGACUACCAAGGAUGAGAAGCCAGAUGGUGGUGCAGGAGAGUUGAAAUCAAACGAGGAGUUCAGAAAUCUGUUGCUUAAGAAGUGAUGUUAGUAGGCAGGUUAGUACUUUAUCAUCUUUACAGUAGAUGUCCAAGCUAGUGUCUGUACAACCACCACCCCACGCACAUAUUUCUGGGCCCGCGAUGUAUGUUUCAGCGCUUAGCUCUUGUUGCCUGCUUUAGGCUUUGAAGAAACUUUAUACAGGAUCCUGCAAUUCUGUUUGUUUCCUCAGCUGCAAAUUUUAAGUACCUGGCACAUGACAAUAUUUUAGUACUAUGUUUCAAACAUCCGCAACCCGCCACUGUAUAUCACUGAUUUUUGUUGGAUGAGUCAACUCAUAGCUGCUUGCAAUGUGUGCAGGCGCGUGGAUCUCCAUGCCCCAUCCAGCUUGAUCUGUUUAGAUUUCCAGUGGUUUCAUGAUUAUGUUAGACCGACUUCUACCACUUCAACUAGGAAAUCGAGGACAAUGAGCACCUUGGAAAUUCAGAAUCAUUGGCCAGGAGCAAUGGAUAUGAAAUCGAGGACAAUUAGCAUCUUGGAAUUGAGAAUCAUGGCCAUGAGCCAUGGAUAUUUCUGUUAAUCGAGGGAGGUUAUAUGCCAUGUAGAAACUAGUCCUUUGCAGGGAAUUAUGUGCGGUUGCGUCCGAGCAGAAAAACCCCGACCAUGUAAAGCAAAAACAGCGAUCUUAAGAUAUUACGUUUGUUUUUAGUAUUUUUGGUAGAAUGUUCAAACUUACUGUCUCUCUGGCUGCUAAAAAUGUUUAAACUCGUAUUCCCUUCGUUUUAAAAUGUAGGUCGUUUUGACUUUUCUAAGUGCAUAGAUUAUGCUAGGUACCUAAGUAAAAUCUAUUUAUCUAGAAAACUCAAAACGACAUACAUUUUGGAAUGAAGUGAGUAACUAUUUAUUUAGUGUUAGGCAUUAUCUUUUCAGCUCAGCAGUCCAACAGAGCUUUGCCUGCAUCUUGAUAGAACUGAAACUGAUUGCCGAAGAGUAAGGGAACUUAUUGGCUAAAAUAGUCAAAGGUGGCCGGUGAAAGUUACAUUUUGUUGUUGAUUUUGGCAAAAAAAAAUUAACAUAAAUAAGGCUUUUUAGAACAGGCGUGCUCUAAAGUAAAACCAUGCGCGUUUUGAGAUCCUGAAAAAAGCUGCUUGCUGGUACGAAGAGUUUGUAAAGAAAUCAGAUUGAGAUAUUUGCACACUGAUGUUGGUGAAUAUAAGACAUUAACACAAUUAUUUCCAUCUGAAGACGUUCCUUGAAACUCAGAUAAAUUUCAACGAAAGCCAUCACAUCACAGCAGCCUUCCCAAUCACAUGACACCAUUGAGAUCAAAUGAUUAUACGCUAAAAAAUUAUCCACCACGCAUGCCAACUUUUAUUAAUGCCCCGGGCGAAAACCAUGUUCUUCUCUCACACCGCACACACCACACUGAGCUAAAUUAACCCACACGAGAACACCAGCCAUCUAAGAAUUAAGAAGAGCAGCUAACAAUCUCCUAAUGAUAUCGAAUUCAAAUGAUGACGUCGAGGGGCGACGAAGGCGGCGCGGUGGAGGCCGCGGCGGCGCUGGCGUCUAGUUGCCCUUGGCGAUGAGCUCAUGGGCGGCCGCGACGGUGGGCAGCGCCGGGAUGGCGCCCUUCUGGGUGGUGCAGAUGGCGCCGCAGGCGUUGGAGAACUUGAGCGCCUCGCGGAGCUUCUCCUCGUUCUGAAAGGAAGGAUUAACACCAACGACAUGAUUAGUAAAGACACUUGAUUAAACAGAGAGAUGCUACUAAUCUUGUUACGCAGAUCAAUCGAUGAGGAAUCAUACGUGGAAGAUGGAGUCGUCCUUGGCGACGUUGACGAGGAGAGAGCCGACGAAGGCAUCACCGGCGCCGGUGGUGUCAAUGGUGUUCACCUUGUAGCCGGGAACGCUGCCCUUGAAGUCCUGCAAUGAGACACAGCGACCAUGUUAAUUUCUUGCAAGAAUUAACCUUCGUACCAAAUUGGACGACAGUGCAAGUUAAAAACACACACAAAAAAAAUCGAAC